UGUUACAUGGAAGAAUAUGGCGUAACAGCACAAGAGGCAUAUGAUGUAUUCACCAAGCAUGUUGAGAGUGCUUGGAAGGAUGUAAAUCAAGAGCUUUUGAAACCAACAGAAAUGCCAACCGAGGUUUUGAACCGUAGCCUAAACCUUGCAAGGGUGAUGGAUGUACUUUACAGGGAAGGCGAUGGCUAUACAUAUGUUGGAAAAGCGGCUAAGGGUGGAAUCACUUCAUUGCUCAUUGAACCAAUUGCACUUUGAAAUUAUGUUAAUUUUUCCUCUCCAAGCUUGUUUCCUAAGAAAUAGUUAUUAAGUUCUAAUUAAUAAUGUUUUAUAAUAUUCAUAUAUUAUAAAAGAAAGUCCAAAUCUAUUAUCUUUGUACUUAUUGCCUUAUAUUAAUUCAAUAAAGUUCUUUCCAAACUUUUCAUUGUGAAUAUCUUCUAUUUUAUAUAUUAAUUGAUUUUUUUAUAUAUUUUUUUGGUAUAAAAUAAUAUGUAAUAUAAAAAUAAGAUCAGUUAUAAAUACCCGAAUUAAGAUUAAAAAAAAUCCACUAAACACUACCACCUAAAGUUUAUUAAGAUAAGUUUUGAAUUAUUUAUUUAUUUAUUUCGGUAUAUCAUUAACUUUGAAAAAUAAAAUAUUUGAGAAAUUAUUUUAUGAAUCUUUCCCACUACAUCAUUUAGGGUUUAUUUCCAUUUUUGGUAUAAUGACAUUUCAGCAACUUUUUCCAUAUCAUUAACAAAAUUUUGGUAUUUUUUUUAACCCUAAACCUUGAACCAUGAAUCUUAAAUCCCAAACCAUAAACCUUGAAUCUAAAACCUUAAAUCCCAAACCCUGAACGUUGACCUCAAACCCUAAACCUAAAUAUCAAACUCUAAACCCAAACUCAAACUUUAAAUCCCAAACUCGAAUCUUGAACCUUGAACCUUAAAUCCUAAAUUCUAAACCUUGAACAGUUUCUAGUUUGGGGUUCAGGGUAAAAUAAUUACCAAAAUUAUAUGUCAGUGACAUGAAAAAAUUACUAAAAUAUCAUUAAAUAACUGGAAAUGGACCAUAAAUAAUAUGAUCAGAAUGAUCCAUAAAAAAAUUUCUCCAAAAUAUCGAAUAUUAAUUUCCACUUAAAAGUCAACAAAUAUAUAACCAAUCCCAAAAAAUCAAUAGUGAAAUUCAAAUUUGUGUUACACAAUAUGUUGCAUCACAUGUAAUAAAUAUUGUAAAAAGAUAAACGUCUUUUUUAAGGAAACUAUCAAAUUUAACCAUUAGUAGAUGAUAAAAGUUUUUGUAAUCAAAUAAAUUAUAUUAUAAUUUAUGUUAUACAAAAUUUGGUAAUAAAAUAAAAUAUAUUAUAAUUUAUGUUAUACAAUGUAGUAUAAUAUAUAAAAAUAUUGUAAUGUUGUAGUAUAUUUUGUAAUGACUAUUUUCACCAACCAAAAUAUAUUAUUUAAAUUUGAAAUAACGUAAAUGUUAAGUUUCUAAUAUAUAAUAUUAUAUAUGUACGUAUGUAUGAGUCAAGUACUGACGGCUACCAAAACAAAAUGUUUUAAAUCAAAGAAAAAAAAAACAAUGAGUAUAUUAUAUUAUUAGUCACUAAAUUAUAAGUAAAUUUUUAUUUUGGUCACUUAAUUAAAAAAGUUACAAAUUAAUUACAAAUGUUUUCUAGAUUUUUUUUUUGGUCACUUGACUAUUAAGUGACACUUUUUAGUUAGUAUAAUUACAAGUUUGGUCCUUGAUUUUUAUACUUUAUGUCAAUUUGACCCUAAUGAUGUAGUCGUAAACCAACUAAAAAUCUGACUAAGGCAAGUGUACCUAUCAAUUAAUAGUAUAGCUACGGUGAGCAAAUAUAUCGUUCCCACGAUGACUAAAAGUAGUAGAAAUUACUAUCUUUGUAUUAUUUAAUCGAUAAAUUCGAAUGAUUGAUUGAAAAUUAAAAUUAUCUAAACUAAUUGCUAAUGAACACGAUAAAAAAUAAUUAAGGAAAAUAAACGAUUAACAACCAAGAAGCGAAACAAUACCCAAGAAAGAAUUCACCUAGGUUUCAUCUGUUAUUAUCAAUCUAAAUUACGUAAUUUCUUCACUUUGUAUCUUGAUCUGUAGAAAUCCCUAAAUUAUGUUAAUAUCUCUCUUCAAGACUAAGAGCAACUGACUCUAGGUUGAUUAAUUGAAAUUUCUUUCUAAUUAAAACCCAUAUUACUGCAUUAACUCAAUCUAUGAAUCCCCCUAUUAGAUUUCACUCUACUGUAAUAUAUUUAUGUCGUCCUGUUUCUAGGAUUGCAUGCAACUUCACUCAAUUAUGCUAGAUCUACUUUUAGACAAGGUAUAUUCCUCAUCUGAUUUAAGCACAUCAAACAUGAAUUAAUAAUUUAGAAAUAUCAAACUAAGAAUUAAGCACACAUAAUUGAGAACAAGUGCAAUACCCCGAAAAUUUACUACAUUAAGAAAGUAAUAUAAUAUCCCUGAUAUAGUAAAAUAAGGAAAUAAAGUGAAAAAGGGGUAAUUUUGAGUUAUGUCAACAUUGGGAAGUAUAUUAUGACAUAUUAAUUCAAGAAAGGAUUAAAUCGUAAAAGUGAGAAAAGUUUUGUUGCCCAAGAGUAAAUAUUCAAAAUUUGAGGGGUUAAAAUGUAAAUAUGAAAAAGUUGAAGGACCAAUAGUGUAAAUAUUUUAAGGGUGGAAUGAUCUAGAAAUUAAGGAAAAUGGAUGAAUUGGGACCAAAUUGAAUAGGUGAAGAAUUAUGAGGACUAAAUCAUAAUUUUACCAAAUUAAGUGAUGACUCAAGGAUGAAAUUUUAAAAGAUCAUAAAGGGCAAAAUGGUGAAUUAGAAGAAAGAGAAAUCUAGAAGAAAAUGAUGAUGUUGGAGAUAUUUUAGAUUAAAUAAAUAAAUAAAUAAAUAUUAGUUUAUUAAUAUUUUAAUUUGAUUUUUAAAUGAUAUUUUAUUAUUUUAUUAUUAUUCUAUUUAGUAUAUAUAUGGAAGGAAAGAUGAAGAAUCAUCUUCUUCUUCCCAUGCAUCAAUGUAUGAAGAGAAAAGAAAGAAAGAAACUUUCUUUUCUUUACAAUUUGGUCCUUUCACCAAAUAUUCGCCAUUUUCACUUAGAAAUCAAAAAAAUUUCCAUAUCCAUCAAGAGAGAAAGAUAACAAGGAGACUAUGGGGAGUUAGAAUAUCAAGUUAGAUUCAAGCAAUAGAAGCUGGGGGAGAAAGAAAAUCAAGUUAAAGUUUGAAACUAAGAGGACAAGAUAAGAACAUCAAGAUUUCAAUAUAUUUUGAAGUUUGAUAUUAUUGAAAAAGCAUGAAAAUGAUGUUAUAGUAAAGUUUUCUUAUAUAAGAUCUUAUGUUCUUGAUAUAUUAGUGAAGGGAAAUAAGUGAAAGUGAUGGGAAAUAUUAUAGAGAAAGGGAAUAAGGGAGUUAUAAACUUAGUAAUCAACAUCUUGCACUAAAACAGUUUUGGACAGAAGUAGUACGUUAAAUUUGAAAAAUCAUCAUAAAUCGUAGAAAUCGAAUUAGAGGAUGAAAAAAUAUGGAAUUAAAGCUUAUUGAGUCUAGUUUUUCAUAAAAGAAACAGUGUAAGUAAUAGAAUUGUAAAUCAUGAGAUAUAAUAAAUUUUUUGAGACAAGGUCAGAAUGAAUUCGGGUUUCCCUAUUCUGACUUUGGAAAAUAAUUAAAAAUUGUAUAAAAAUAAUUGUGGGUUAUAAUUUAUAUGUUUAAAAUUAUUAAUGAAUCUACCCUCAGUAAAAACAAAUGGGAACAUCAUCCAAAUCUCGUACGAGGAGAUAAUUAAUUUUUAGUGAAGAAGGGUUGAAACUGUCAGACAGCAGAACAGGGAUGCCUUUAAAGAAUAAACUAUACUUAUUGGCUAAACCAUAAAUUCUGAAAAGUUUAUGGUAAGAAUAUAUGUGAGUUUAGUUUCAUAUAAAUUUAGCAGAUCUUAAUUUGGAGUUCCGUAGCUCAAGAUAUAAAUAAUUUAGUGACCAUGACUCAAGUGGACAGCUUUGAAUGAACAUAUAAAUAAAUAGUGAAAUUAUAGAUAAUGUUACAUAUAAGCAUGUUAUAAACAUUAAGGAUGUGGAAUGGAGAGGAAGAGGAGGAAAAUAUAUGAUUAUUCAACUAGCAUGAGUUUUCAUUAAAAAUGGCUAAUUUGCAUGCUUUAGGUUUAGGGACUAAAUUGAAUAAAAGUAAAAUUUUAAGGGUAGAUUUGUAAAAAUAUCAAAAAGUGACCAAAUUGAAUGAAAUAUUAAUUUAGAUCUAGAUUGGGUGGAAAUUCGAGGAAAAUAAAAAUUACCAAAAUGUCCUUGAAUUUUGGUAUUUUUGCAAUUUAGCCUGGUAAGUUCGUAUGAACUAUAUUCUGUAUAAUUUUAAUUAAAGUGAAUGUUAUUUGGUGAUGAAUAUUAUAUAAAUAUGUGUUUUAUUAUUGGAAUUGAAUUAUUAUUGGUAAUAUGUAUAAUUAUUAGAUGCAUUGAAAUUAUUAUCGGAAGCUCGAUUGGGUUGGAAGCUUGUCGGAGAUAUAUCACACUAUCCAUUGGUUCUAUCGGUAAUUUUGGAUGAUUUGAUUCUGGUUAUAAUGGAAUGUAUAAGUUAAAUUGGCCAACGUUAGCUCAUUAAUGUUUAGAUUUUAAUUGGUUAUAAAUAUGAAUGCUUGAUAAAAUGAAAUGUCUGUAAAUUAAUUUGUAAACUCCAGUAAUGCUCUAUAACCCAAUUUUGGCGAUGGAUACGGGUUAGGGGUGUUACAACAAGAUCCAAGUAUUUAUUGCAUAAAAAUAGAAAUCAAAUAACAGAAUCUAUCUUAGGGUUCAUCUCCCUAGGUAUUUUGAAAAUUAGUUCAUGAUAACAAAUAAAAACAUUCCAAAGACAAUAUAACCACAAGAAAUAAAGAAACUCUUAAUAAACUUCAAAGAAAUCAAAAGGAGAUCUUUAAUCCUGAUGGAAAUUUGCUUCAGAGUCAGCUUCAAUGGUGUUUUUCGAGUUAUUUUCUUGAGUAUUUAAUGAUAGUCCUCUCCCAUCUUCUUAUUUUUGUCAUGUAUAGGUCUUAAAAUGUUCGAAAAACCUAUAAAAAAAUUUCUCGCGAGUUUGGAGUGCGAUUCGCUAUUUCCACACGGGUUGGCACAUGACCGUGUGGCAACUCAUGUGGCUUAGAUGGUCAUGUGUCCAGCCCAUGUAGAACGAUCUAGCUUGUGUGGCUCCUAAAACCUGUUCUGAUUUUCGCUCCUUUCCAAAUGCUCCCCUAAAUAUAAAAACAUGAAUUUAAAGGAUUAGGAAUAAAAAAUUCACCAUUUAAAUCGAAUAAUCAUCCAAAAACCUUUAAUGUGCUUUAUAUUAGUUUAAUUCUACUUUAUAAUUUGUUCAGGCAUGUAUUUGUGAUUAUACUAUAAUCACACCGUAUUGUACUUGUAAACUAAAACAAAAUUUAUAAUUUCAUAUUAUUUUUUUAAUAUUAGUUUUACAUCCUCACUCAUCAAGUAAAUUUGGGUUAUAAUUAUUUGAUUAUUGAGCUUCUGAAGAUGAAUUUUUUAGGCAUAAUGACUUAUUUGAUCUUUUAAAUUUUUUUUUAAAAAGUCAUUUUAGCCUUCCAUUUAAGUUUUUGUCUCGUUUAGCUGUUAAAUUUGCGUUUUCUACCAAAUCACCCUAAAAUGGAUUAAAAAGCUAAUAUAUGUUAACUUUGUUAGCAUGAUUGCCAUGUGGAUACUAUCUCAACAAUUAAUUUUUUUAAAAAUUUAAUCAUAAAAAAUCAAAAAUCCAAAUCCAAAUUAACCAAAACCCGAAAUAUUUUGAACUUAAAAUGAUUUUAACGAAAAAAGAAAUUAAAUCUAAAAUGAACCGACCAAAAAACCCAAAACCUCAUGUUUAAAUUAUAUGAAUUUAGAAUUAUUCAAAUCAAAAUUCUUAUUCCAAAAUUAUUCAAAUCUAAAAAUUUUAAACUAAAAUAUCCUAAAAAUGUUAAAACUCAGAAUUAAUUGUUCCAAAUCACCCGGCCGCUCAACUGAAUGAUCUAAUUAUAGGUAAUAAUUGAAGCUUGUUUAAUUACUAAUUGUUUACUAAUUGUUUUACGAUUUUUGUUAAGUUAAAAGAUAAUUUAUUAAUUUUAUAUGAUCCAACAUAGAGGUGCUCAUGGGUUGGGCGGCCCGGCCCGACGGCCCGCCCGAAAUUUGGGAGGGUUCGAGUAAAAAUAUAGGCCCGAAUUAUGGGCUUGGGCAAAAAAUAAGGCAAAAUUUUUUUGGCCCGGGCCCGGCCCGGCCCGGCCCAGAUCUAAUUAAUAUAUAUUUUAUUUUUCAAUUUUAUUAUUACAGUUACAUUUCCCAAUUCCCCUCCCCAUUUCCCAUUUCCCGACCCCGUGUAUCUGUAAAUCCUUAACCCCUUCCCUCCUCCCUUUUUUUCCCCCAAAUCGAAAACCCACCUCCACCGAUCCACCAUUCCACCUCCGGUGUCCGGUCCUCCACAACUCCACCUCCACUCUAGCCUUCAACGUGGUAGAAUUUCAAAGGUAAGUUUGCUUUUAACCCUAUUUCUUGUUAACGGUUUUCUAAUUUUUCAACGUCUUCUCCCCUUUUUGCUUUUUGAUUUUGAUUGUGAUUUUGAUUUUUGCUGUUAACGAUUUUCUGAUUUUGAUUUUGAGACACUGAAUCUUGGGGGAUUUUGAUUGUGUUUACACUUUACAUAUUGUUCUAUUUUUUUUUAGUUCUUUUGCGGAUUAAUGUGAUUUUCUUUUCUUGAAUGAUGAUUGUUCUUUUGUUGCAAAUUCGUUCUUUUAUUAAAACCGAAAAAGGAAGAAAAUCAAUAGAAUUGGAUUUAGGGUUUAUGGAAUCUAAAAAAACUGAAAAAAUAACCCUCCAAAUUGACUGCUUAAAUUAAACUAAACUAAUAUGUCACUGUCAUUAACAACAAUUUUCAUUUUGGAUGAGAAUUAAGAGCAAAAUUGUAUUAUUCAAUUAUUAUUGGAUGAGAAUUGAUUUAUGUUUUAUAGAACAUGUAAUUUGCAGGGCUGAAUUCUGAGAUCACAUACAAGUAUAUUUUUUCUGCUUCUUUCAUGCAUGCUGGUUCACAAACAGUAGGUGGUAGCCUCGUUAAGGCUUGUGGUAGCUUGGGUGCUAUUAAACAAGGUAAGCAAGUUCAUGGAAACUUUUUAGUAUCACCCUAUUUUGAUGAUGAUGUUGUUAAGUCAUCUUUGGUUGAUAUGUAUGCAAAAUGUGGAUUACCUGAUGAUAGUCGUUUAGUUUUCGAUUCUAUUAAGUUGAAAAAUAUGGCUUCUUGGACUGCUAUCAUAUAUGGCUAUGCUAGAAAAGGAAGAAAAGAAGAGACUUUGGAGUUGUUUUUAAGGGUUCACCUGAAAAAUUUGUUUGCUUGGACUGCUUUGAUAUCUGGGUUAAUACAGAGUGGAAAUGGGGUUGAUGCAUUUGGCUUGUUUGUUAAUAUGAGAAGGCAAGGGAUUAUUAUAAUUGACCCUCUUGUGCUUUCAAGCAUUGUUGGUGCCUCUCCUCAUUUAGCGAUGUUGGAAAUAUAAGUUUUACUUAAAAUCAAAAGUUAGUUUUUUUCUUUCUUUCUCUGAUCUUUACUGUAAAUAUAAGUUUGAUCUAUUGUAGUUAAAUAACUAGUUUAUUAUACUGUUUUAACAUAUUGUUUUAAUAUAUUGUUUUAGUAUACUGUUAUAAAUAUACCAUUUUAAUAUAAUGUUUUAAUAUACUGUUAUAAAUAUACUGUUAUAAAUAUACUGUUUUAGUAUACUGUUAUAAAUAUACUGUUUUAAUAUACUGUUAUAAAUACUACACCUUAAUUAUUAAUGUAAUAUACUGGUUUAAUAUAUUAUUAUAAAAUUUGUAAUAUACUAUUUUAAUAUAUUGUUAUAAAUUAUCACAGUGAGACCAGUUAAAUUAUCAUAGUUGUCGAAAUCGUUUUUUGAAAAACAAAAAUUUAGUUGUCGACUUUAAAAAUAAAAUUGGAGUCGCCACUGAUCCUUUAUUAAGGUGUGAUCGGCUCACCUUAAAAAUUAUUUUGGUCUACGAAUUUUGAGAAAACGAGUUCGGGAGUCAGUUACGUACGAGGAAGGGUUAGCACCCUCGUAACGCCCAAAAUCGGUACCAAAUUGAUUAUUUGAUGUCUUGGUGUCGAAAGUUAAAAAAGAUUUUAAAAUAAGCUUGAAUGAUGAAAUUUGAAAAAUGAUAAUCAAUUGUUCAAGUCAUGUAAAGAAACUGAGUCCCAAUACGUUAGGGUACAAUUCCUCAUAAUCCCCGAACUUUGAAUAUCACUUUUAUUUUAUGCAAAAAUCUUCAUUUCGAGAAAGUAACAGGCCACACCCAAUACGUUAGGGCACAACAAGUUAAGUUCCCAAAAAUGAUUUUUAUGCUCAUGCAUUUUGAAUAAAGAAUAUUCUCAGUCAUUUAAGAUUGACAAAGAAAAUCAGAACCCGAUACGUUAGGGCUCAAUUUUCCUCGAAAAUCCCAAACUUCAAAAAAUGCUUUUAUUCAAAAAACCUUUAAAUCAAGAAAAUAACUUUGAUGAAUGGUUAAAACUAAAAUGUAUUUUUAAAAGGGUACGUUAAAAAAGUUAAUGUACAAUGUGGUACAGAUACUUUAAUUCACAACAUAUACGAAUAAAUAUUUACAAAUAUAUAUAUACAAAUAUAAUAUAACAAUAAAGUUGCAAACAUAUGUACACAUAUAUCAAAAACACAUAUACAAGUAUACAUGCAAAUAGAAGAAAUGAAAUAUAUCCAAUAAAACAAACAAAAAACAUGUAUAAAAAGAAAAUAAAAGUAUAAAAGAAAAUGCAUAUGUAUAUAUUUUCAGAAUAAAGGAAAAAUAUAUAAAAAAUAAGAAAAUAAAAUAAGGAUAUAAGGAAAAACGUAUGUAUAAAUAUAUGCAUGUAUAUAUUAUAUAAAACAAAUGCGCAUGUGUAUGUAUUUUACGAAAAACAUUUUUUGAAAAUGAAAUUCACAAAAUAUAUGUUUUGUAAAAAAUAUGAAAGAAAAAAAGAAAAUUAUAUAUAUAUAAAAUGUGCAUGUAUAGAAAACCAAUAUAUGUAUAGAUAUAUAUAUUAUAUAAACGUGUGUAAAUGUAUAAGAAUACUAGAAAAACUAAAAAAAAAAUGACUAAUGAAGGAUUAAAUCAAAAAGAAUCUUAAGGGCCGAAUUUAAAAUAAAAUUUUAAAAAAGGGGCCACUUGAAUGCGCGCGUAACAGUGGAGGACCAAAAAGGAAAUAUGCCCAUUGAUCCCACGGCACCGUUUCGACGUAAUCUACAGUCCUGGUUGAUGAACCAAAUUGAAACAGGCGCGAAAUUUUGUGGCAAAAUUGCAAACGUGCGAAAUACUACAUUUAAAAUCAAAAUAAAAUAGGAAGGACCGGACGUGCAAAUAUCCCAUAUGACGUCAGAACGCGCGAAUCCUCCCCUCCGGGUCGGGUCACCGCGCAGGUCUGGCCAUUCAAAACGGCGUCGUUUUGAUCUGUUAUUUAAAACAGAAUUUUCUUUCUAAAACCAUUUUAACAAAAUGAAAAUAAAUAAAUCAAUAAAUCCCCCCCUUUUGCUCUGCUAGGGUUUCACCCCUAGCGUCCUCGCGCUGCCGCUCGCCUGGCCAACGCUCCGAUCGCGACGGAGGUGGCCACCGAUCCGGCAUUCUCAACGAAUGGGGUAAGAUCCUUUCCCUUGCUUUUAUUUCUAAAAAAACGCAAAAAGAAAAGAGAAAUAUAAAAACAACAGAAUGGAACCCGAUUCACCUUUUUAAAAACUUUGUAUUUUUAAUAUUUUUCUUUUGUAUUUCUCUGUAUCCACUCUCUGUUAUCCCCCUUUUACAAAAUAACAGUGGCUUUAUAUAGCCCAAAAACUAUUUGUUGCUUUUUAUUUUACACUAUAUUUUCGCGGAUGGACUCUCUGAGUCCGUGUUUGCAGGCGAGAGUGGAUCAAAUGGCGCGCGUGGAGAGGUCAGCCCUGAGACGUGUGGCGCUUGGAAAGGCUGCUGAAGGCGGGGAGGCUGCGACGCUCGCUUGCUGGUACUAUUUUAGGUGUAUUGGGCUAGGGUUUAGGUUGGGUAGUGUAUUGGGUCUUGUUCAUUAGCUUGGGCCUGAGUGUUAUAACGUGAAAUGGGUUUUAGAUUGAGCCUGGGCCGAUUGGGCCCUAUUACAGCUGCCCCUCUUUGCUCAUUGUCGUGUAACGGGAAUAGAGCAAAGACUACAGGGCCCAAUUGUCCCUUGUCUUGUGGAGCCUCAACUUCUUCAAUGCUUCUCUUCUUUAGGUAGCCACGUUCCUUCCUGCUGCAUCUUCAGGGGUAUAGGCACUGGUGCUCCAAUCUACUCCACUGCAAUGUCGGGGAGAUAGGAUUUGUAUGCUGUAGCUUCUUAAAAGGACAAAAUUUGCUAUUUUUAAUCUGCUCCACUGCAACUUCAGGAAGAUAAGACUUGUAGCUUCAAUUUGUUCUGCUACAACUUAAAGAUAAAUCUUGGCGCGAUCUGCUCUGCUGCAACUUCAGAGAGAUGAGAUCUGUGGUUUUAAUCCACUCCAUUGCAACUUCAAGGAGAUAGGAUUUGUUACUUCUGUCUGCCCCACUGCAAUUUCAGGGAGAUAAAACCAGAUAUAAUUUGCUCUCUGCGACUUUAGAGUAAUGGGAUCUGCUGCGCUUGAUCUACUUCACGCCAAUGAAGACAAGGUCUGUUCUCUUCGAUCUACUCCACCACCAGUAUGGGGAGACAAGAUCUGUUGUCUUUGAUCUACUUCACGCCAAUACAUGAAGACAAGAUCUACUUUUUCCUUCGAUCUACUUCGCCACCAGUAUGGGAAGACAAGAUCUGUUGCCUUUGAUCUACUUCACGCCAGUACAUGAAAACAAGAUCUGCUUUCUUCGAUCUGUUUCGCCACCAGUAUGGGAAGACAAGAUCUGUUAUCUUUGAUCUACUUCACGCCAGUACAUGAAGACAAGAUCUGCUUUCUUCGAUCUGUUUCGCCACCAGUAUGGGAAGACAAUAUCUGUUAUCUUUGAUCUACUUCACGCUAGUACAUGAAGACAAGAUCUGCUUUCUUUGAUCUGCUUCGCCACCAGUAUGGGAAGGCAAGACCUGUUACCUUUGAUCUACUUCAUGCCAGUACAUGAAGACAAGAUUUGUUUUCUUCGAUCCGCUUCGCCACCAGUAUGGGAAGGCAAGAUCUGUUAUCUCUGAUCUACUUCACGCCAGUACAUGAAGAAAAGAUCUACUUUCUUUGAUCUGCUUCGCCACUAGUAUGGGAAGGCAAGAUCUGGUAUCUCUGAUCUACUUCACGCCAGUACAUGAAGACAAGGUCUGUUCUCUUCGAUCUACUCCACCACCAGUAUGGAGAGACAAGAUCUGUUAUCUUUGAUCUACUUCACGCCUGUACAUGAAGACAAGAUCUGCUUUCUUUGAUCUGCUUCGCCACCAGUAUGGGAAGGCAAGAUCUGGUAUCUCUGAUCUACUUCACGCCAGUACAUGAAGACAAGAUCUGUUAUCUUUUAAUCUGUUCCACUGCUGCUCAGGGAGAUAAGGAUUUAUGAUUCCACCGACCUGUUCUCUGUGGACAAUGACCUGUAUGAUGAACCUAAUUAUGCCUAGUGAUUAGGAUAUCAUGAUUGGAAUGAAUCACAUGCUCCUAACUAGGCGUGUAUGAAUGACAUCUAAAUGCUAUGUCAUGAAAAUGAUUCAUUAAUACUAAAUAUUGAAGUCGUUAUUACUCAUUAAGGCUUUCUUUGUGAUAACAACGCUUCGAAAAAACUCAAAAAUUCUUGAUCCGGCUUUUUACUCCUAUAUAUCUUCGACCUUUUAACCCGGUGAAGUCUAAACAAUAGUCCUGCUUCAGGUUCUUGUAUUAUUUAGAAAUUUCCAGAGUAAUAUGAAAAACUUCCCUUGUGAAAGUUUUAUUAGUCCAUUAAUCGUUAUUCUAAUGCAACAUGCUUUCGAAAAGAUCAUAACGAUGGAUAAAACGAAAUUGACUUGAGAUCAUAACUUGCAAUAAAUUAUUAAUGAAAACAAGUCAAAAAAAGAAAUUGACUAAAACACUUAUAUUGAAAAAGAAUGAAGUGUUUUGGAAAUACAAAUUAUGGACAAGUGCCCCAGAUAUCUUUGCUUGAAUUGCUCUAUACAACUUUCUAAGGACCCUUCUGAAUUCAACACGUGUUUAGGAGAUUCAUAGUAUUUUGUUGAUGCCCCAAGAUGUCAUCUAUUCCUUUCUGCCGAUUUAGGUACAACAAGACUACCACGUGCUUCAAUCAGACUUUGAGCCGUCCUUGUCAGGUUUUCAACUCAAACCCCUUUGGUCUUAAGGUGCCCUUUGCGGGUUUUCACCCUAGCCUCUCCGUUUUUUUUUUUGGAAUCAAAGCGCCCUUUGCGGGUUUUCACCUUGGUUCCUUCCCUUCUUCAAGUAAAGUAUCUCUUGACCGAAUCUGAAUUUACUGGAUUAGGCAAGUUUCUUCCAUCCAUUUCAGCCAGGAUCAGGGCUCCUCCAGAAAAGGCCUUUUUUACAACAUAAGGACCCUCCCAAUUCGGCAUCCAUUUCCCCCUAAAAUCUUUUUGUAAAGGAAGAAUUUUUCUCAACACCAAGUCCCCCUCGUGAAAUUCUCUGGGUCGGAUCUUCUUGUUGUAGGCUCGCAUCAUUCUUUUCUGGUACAUCUGACCAUGCUGAAUAGCCUUUAGCCUUUUUCCCUCUAUCAAGUUCAACUGAUCGUAUCGAGAUUGAACCCAUUCUGCUUCAUCCAAUUGUAGCUCAGUCAAAACCCGGAGAGAAGGGAUUUCAACUUCGAUGGGCAAGACUGCCUCCAUGCCAUAAACUAAGGAGAAAGGCGUUGCCCCGGUGGAGGUCCUGAUUGACGUUCGAUAAGCAAUGAGGGCAAACGGUAAUUUCUCGUGCCAGUCCCUAUAAGUCUCAGUCAUCUUCCCCACAAUUUUUUUAUAUUUUUAUUAGCCGUUUCCACUGCACCAUUCAUUUUUGGGCGAUACGGCGAUGAAUUGUGAUGUCUGAUCUUGAAUUGACUGCAGACUUCUGCUAUUGAGCUGUUGUUCAGGUUCAGCGCAUUGUCAGAUAUGAUUCUUUCAGGCAUUCCAUAUCGACAUAUGAUCUCCCUUUUCAAGAACUUACUGACUGAUGACUUUGUAACGUUAGCAUACGAAGCAACUUCUACCCAUUUGGUGAAGUAGUCAAUAACCACAAAUAUGAAACGAUGCCCAUUUGAAGCCUUCGGCGAUAUUGGCCCGAUGACAUCCAUACCCCACAUGGAGAAAGGCCAUGGAGAAGUCAUGACAUGAAGAGGCGAAGGACGUGCAUGCAUUUUAUCACCAUAGAUUUGACAUUUAUGGCACUUUUUGGAGUAAUUGAUGCAAUCCCCUUCCAUGGUGGACCAGUACUACCCGAAUCUCAUAAUCUGUCUAGCCAUUGUGAACCCACUGGCAUGCGUUCCACAGAUGCCCUCAUGGACUUCCUCCAGGAUUUUCUUUGCUUCCACGGCGUCCAUACAUCUUAACAGUACCUGAUCUUUUCCCCUCUUGUAUAAGAUCUCCCCAUCUAAGAUGUAAUCAAUGGCUAGUCUUCUCAGAGUUCUCUUUUCAUUCUCCGUUGCCUGACCAGGAUACUCACGGUUUUUUACAUAUCGCAGUAUAUCUUGAUACCAGGGGAUAUCAUUGAUUUCUUCUUCUUCGAUAUUGUAACAAUGAGCCAGAGCUUCGUAGAUACUCAUUUGGAUAGGCUUCAUGUCUUCUUGACGGUUCACUUUAAUCAUGGAGGCUAACGUAGCUAGGGCAUCAGCCAUCUAGUUCUCAUCUCGUGGGAGAUAGCAAAAAGUGAUGUCCUCAAACUCUUUAAUCAAUUCAAGGACCAGCUUUCAAUAAUUGACUAAUUUGGGAUCCCUCGUUUCCCAUUCACCCUUGAGCUGAUAUAUCACCAAUGCUGAAUCUCCAUAGACCUCUAGCACUUUGAUUCUUCGCUCUAUAGCUGCACGAAUACCCAUGAUGCAUGCUUCGUAUUCUGCCAUGUUGUUUGUACAAUCAAAAUCCAAUUUGCAAGUGAAAGGAUAAUGAUCACCAUUCGGGGACACCAGGACUGCCCCAAUUCCAUUGCCCACAGCGUUCGAGGCUCCAUCAAAGUUUAGCUUCCAACUGUGACCUUCUUGGGGAUUUUCUUCAAUAGCGGCUACUUACAACAAGUCCUCAUUCUGAAAAUCAAAACUUAACGGUUCGUAAUCUUUUAAUGCCCUGCUAGCCAGAAAGUCAGCUAUUGCGCUCCCUUUUACAGCUUUUUGACUCACAUAGACGAUAUCGAAUUUAGACAGUAAAAUCUGCCACUGGGCCAUCCUCCCAUUCAAAGCAGUUGACUCCAUCAUAUACUUUAACGGGUCUAACUUUGAAAUUAGCCAAGUCGUAUGGUAUAACAUGUACUGCCUUAAUCUUCGGGUUGUCCAAAUCAGGGCACAACAGAACUUCUCAAUGGGCGAAUAUCUCAUUUCACAGUCAGUGAAUUUCUUGCUGAGAUAAUAUAUUGCCCUUUCUUUUCUCCCCGUUUCAUCAUGCUGGCCUAGCACACACCCCAUGGAAUUAUCAAACACUGUCAAAUACAAUAUCAGCAGCCUAUCUGGGCUAGGUGGUGACAGCACCGGAGUAUUGGACAAAUAUUGUUUCACCUUGUUAAAAGCUUCUUCGCAUUCUUCAUCCCAAGUACCAGGGUUAUGUUUCUUCAAAAGAUGAAAUAUAGGGUCACAUUUCUGAGUUAGUUGUGAAAUGAACCUAGCGAUGUAAUUCAGUCUUCCGAGGAAACCUCGAACUUCUUUCUGAGUGCGAGGUGGAGGUAAGUCUCGUAUUGCAUUGACUUUGUCUGGGUCAAUCUCGAUUCCCUUUUCACAGACUAUGAAGCCUAGCAAUUUUCUUGACCUGGCCCCAAAAGUGCACUUCGCUGGAUUAAGCUUGAGUUGGAACUUUCAAAAUCUUAAGAAUAACUUUCUCAAGACCUGCACAUGUUCCUCCUCCGUUCUAGAUUUCACGAUCAUAUCGUCAACGUAAACCUCGAUUUCCCUGUGCAUCAUAUCAUGGAACAAGGCUACCAUAGCUCUUUGGUAUGUUGCUCCUGCGUUCUUUAAUCCAAACGGUAUUACUUUAUAACAAAACGUCCCCCAUAACGUAAUGAACGUAGUCUUUCUCAUGUCCUCAGGAUGCAUCUUUAUCUGAUUAUACCCAGAAACACCAUCCAUGAAGGAAAACAUUGAAAAGCCUGCCGUAUUGUCUACCAAUGUAUUGAUGUGGGGUAAUGGGAAAUUGUCUUUUGGACUAGCCUCGUUCAAAUCCCUGUAAUCCACGCACAUUCGUACUUUCCCAUCUUUCUUUGGAACUGGAACGAUGUUGGCCACCCACUCAAAAUACUUGACUUCUUGCAGAAAUCCAGCAUCAAACUGCUUUUGGACCUCAUCUUUUAUCUUCAACACGAUGUCAGGUCUCAUCCUUCUAAGCUUUUGCUGCACUGACUUGCAAUCCUCUCUUAUAGGAAGGUGAUGGACUACAAUGUCGGUACUCAACCCCGGCAUAUCUUGGUACGGCCAUGCAAACACGUCCUUGAACUCUCGGAGUAACUCGAGGAGGUCUUGUCUUGUCUUUGCAGAGAUAUUCGAUCCGACCUUCACCUCCUUUCCUUCCUCUAAGCUCACAAUUUCUAUUGAUUCCCUGUAAGGUAGGAUUUACUUCUCGGCCCUUUCUACCAUCUUCAACAAGUCAGGAGACAAACCACAGUCUUCGUCAUCUUCAAAAUCAUGUGAUCCUUCUAAACACAUGUUUCGUUCAAAAGGAGACUCUAAAUUUAUAAGUGUGACAUUCGUAUCAUUGAUAUCGUAUGACCUGUUAUGAAAAAUAAUAUGGAUUCAGGAAUUUGUUUGGUGCAAUAUGGUCAUGAAUGAAAUGCAAGUGUAGUUUGAGAGAAAUUCAAAAUAACUGCUCUUAUGGAAAGAAAGAUUUGCUCAAAAAAUGACUGCAAAAAUGAACUUUAUUAAAAUAACGAUUUUUUGGACAUGAGCCUAUUUCACAAAGGAAUCCUUAUCACUUCUAGGCUAAAAGCAAUAAGGGUGUUCUGGACAUUACUAUGAGGAAAUCCUAAAAACUACAGGUAUUUCUUCUGCAGUCCAGUUGUUUAGCACACUUCUCAGUUCGUAAGGUUGAAUAUCCUACAAUGUUCCUCCUCCCGUCGCUUCUUCAUACACGGCAUGAAUACUUUCUAACUCCAUGUUAAUACUUUCGACUCCUAGUAUUCCUUGAUAGAUGAAUCCUCCCAAUACAAAAGUCUUAGAUAGGUGAGGAAAGGUCAUGGGCUCCCAUUUGACUUCAUCACCUGUCAAACGAGCCCUUCUUCUCUCUCGCUUCUUUUCUUGCUCUAUCCUCUUCUGCCUAGCAUCUGGCUUGUAUCCUAAGCCAAAAUGGUCCUGCUUGUCUUUCAAUACUGGAGCCUCAACUCGGCCCUGAAGAUAUUUCCCCAAUCCUUUUCUCGGCAAAGCUCCAUUUCUAAUUGUCAAUUGCAGACCCAUCUUUGUGGUCUUUGAUAUUCUCGGCAUCGGGAUCUUGUUUCCCUCAAGGAUGAAUGUUACAUUUACGAACUCCAAGGAACGGAAAGAGCACUCGAUUGCAUCAUCACUUGUUUCUAAAUAAGGUGCAUCGUUGGUCACAGAUGUAAUGAUAUCUUCUUCAACAUUUAUCGUCACUAGCCGACCUUCUGACACCAGCUUCAGUUUUUGAUGUAAUGAUGACGGUACCGCUCCUGCUGAAUGAAUUAAUGGCCUUCCUAAUAGGAAACUGUAAGAAGGCUUGAUGUCCAUAACCAAGAAGUCUACCUCAUAGCUAGUUGGGAAAAUUAACAAGGGUAUGCCAAUUCUUCUCAUGACUUUCCUCUCGGUGCCAUCAAAUGCUCUCACCAUAUUCUGGUACGACUUCAUAUGUGAACUAUCCACAGGUAGCCUGUUGAGCGUGGAUAGAGGCAAUACAUUCAGUACCGACCCGUUGUCUACCAGAUUUCCUGGUAAUAUGCGCCUUUUACACCUUGCAGUGAUGUGUAAAGCUCUAGUAAAUCCCAUACCCCCAGGUGGUAUUUCAUCAUCGCUAAAGGAGAUGAAGUUAUCAGCGCUUAUAUUGCCGACCAGUCGAUCCAACUUGUUAACAAAGAUAUCAUCAGCCACAUAAGUUUCGUUUAGCACUUUCAGUAGUGCAUUUUGAUGUUCCUCCGAGUUCAGGAGUAAAGCUAGCACAGAUAUGCGAGCUGGUUGUUGGUGCAGUUGUUCCACAACGCUGUACUCGCUAUGCUUUAGAAACUUCAAGAACUCUCUAGCUUCCUCCUCUUUGAUUGGUUCAUUGACCAAUAAUUCAGGUUCGACCGCAUUCUUCCUCUUUCCAACCGAAGCUUCUUCUCUUAUUGGCCCUUCUUGAGCUUCCAUCUGUUCGUAGUGCCUUCCUUCAUCCUGAUCCUCUUUACUGAUUAUAUCCUCUUUCCCCAGGAUUAUCACAUUACAAUCGUGAUUCCAAGGAACCUCUUGUUAUCCUUAUAUGCAAACACAGCCGGUUUUUGAAUGAUUACUUUUGGUGUUAUACGUGCCCCAACCUCACUGUUCUGAGGUCGCGAAAUGAUGACCACAGGAUGGUUAGCCUUCGGAACCCCCAAUGCCAACUCUAACGCGCAUACAUGAUUCUCCUCUUGAACUCCUUCACAGAAUUCCAUCUCCCUAUUAUCCAUCAUACCUUGUAUCAUGGCUCUGAAUUCCGUACACUCUUGGAUUUCAAGCCCCAAUUCAUGGUGGAACUCACAGUAGUUUCCCCUCUUUUCACAACUUCCUUCUGAGACGAUUAGUCCCCUUUUCACCAUCUCCUUCCAGACCCAUCUCAAAGGAGUUUUCACAUCCGCAAUGUCUACCUUGAUUCUUCUAUCUUCGCCCAUCAUAUUUACCCCACCAUCAGUGUGGUUUGGUAUUGGGUUUUCUACCUUGGUCGAGUCAUCAAAUUUAACGACAUCCAUACCAAUGAGCCUUUCUACCAACUUCUUAAAGGCCGUACAGUUUUCUAUGGAAUGCCCUGUUCUUCCCGCAUGAUAGUCGCACUGUGCAUUCACGCCGUACCAUUUGGGGUUGCAAGGGCUUCAGAUAGAAAGGGGAAACUACGUGUGCGUCAAAUAAAUUUCGAUAUAGUUCCCUGUAUGAUAUAGGAAUUGGCGUGAAUUGGGGCCUCUCAAUAUUUCGCCUUGUACCGACCUCUUGUCUCGACGAGCUUUGCUGAUUGGCAGCCACCUUUCCUGGCUGACUCACUGUUAAUGACUUCAAGUAACCUUUGCUGUACAUGCUCGCGUUGUUCACCUCAUUUUCCUUCAUCUUCAAAGCCGAUCUUCUGUUACUCUCUCCCGCAUCGAUCUUCCCAGUCCUAAUGUCAUUCUCAAUCAUCUCGCCAUUCAUGACUAUGUCAGGAAAGCUUUUUGUGGCACUUUCUAACAUAUGUGUAAUAAACGGUGCCUUCAGGGUGUUAAUGAACAACAUGGUCAUUUCCUUUUCCAGGAGCGGUGGCUGAACUUGGACUGCAACCUCCCUCCAUCUCUGUGCAUACUACCUGAAGCUUUCACUCGGCUUCUUCUCCAUGUUUUGAAGGGUGAUUCUAUCAGGAGCCAUGUCUGUCACAUGACGAUAUUGUUUCAUGAACGAUUGUGCCAAGUCCCUCCAUAAACCAAUCGUGGCACGACUCAACUGAUUGUAACAUUUGGAUGCUGCCCCUACAAGGCUGUCUUGGAAACAAUGUAUCAAGAGUUGGUCGUUGCUAACAUAUCCCGCCAUUCAUCUGUAGAACAUAGUGAUGUGAGCUUCUGGGCAACUUGUCCCAUUGUACUUUUCGAACUCCGGCAUCUUAAACUUAUGAGGGAGCACCAAGUCUGAAACUAAGCUCAGCUCUUUGGCAUCAUUGCCUCGAUAACUUUCAGCAACCUCCAUUGCCUUGAACUUCUCCUUGAGCCACUUGCAUCUUUCCUUUAACUGUUUCGGUAACUCCUCCUUCACUCUUUCCUUCUCAACUACUUCAUCAAAGUCUGGAAUGACAGAGUGAAUAAGAUUAUUUUCGAGGUUAGAUCCCGGUCCAGCUUGAAAGCUCGAAACACCAGCCCGAAACUGCUGCGACAUAAUGGUGACAGUAGAUUUGUGCGGGUAUUCAGCUUGAGUUCGCACAUAUGGAGGGGUGAAACCUGGAGGAUAGAGAGGUUCAUCACCAUUUCCCUCAUCGACAUUUUCCAUGGGGCCCUUUCCUUUAUCACUUCCCCUAGUUAUCAAUUGGGUUAACUUUGCCACUAUAUCUUCUUGGGAUUCUUGCAUCUUCUCAGACAUCUCUUGUUUCAUCUUAUCUAACUGCUCCUGCACUUGUAGCUGAAGUCGGUCUUGCAUCUCCUUCUGACACUGUUCGAGUUUUUUCAAUCUCUGAUCCAUAUCUUUUGUUUUUGCUCGAGUGCCGUAUCGAUGUUGGCUUGGUUGGUUGGUUUCCAGGUUAACUGAGCAGUGAUUUUGACUUAUUAGGAUUAAAUAAAAAUCUUUAAUACAUAUAAUGCGGUGCUAAUGCAUAUGAUACGAUGCAUGAGAUGAAUGCAAAAAAAGGCGUUAAUUAUAAUUCAAUUCCAUUCAGAAAACUUUACUAGAGAAUUUUUUUUACAUAAAAUGGCUAUAAAUAAGGCUUUGCCCUAACACUUAGAACUUUAAUCUCCCUAAGUAAUGGUGCCAACUUCUGCCCCUGAUCUGAUUCUGAUUCGUACUUCACACUUAGUAUAUCAGCUUGUAUUGCUAAAGUCUGCAGGUGCUCAACUACCCCUUGAAUCUGUACCACAGCUUCUUCCAUAAUGUGAUCCCUUCUUGCAACUUGAUCCUGGAGAUAGUGAAGUUGUUCACUUUGAUGAUCUUCAUUUGCUUCCAGAUGUUCAAUCCUGGCUUCACAGUUCUGUAAUGCCAUCUCUAAUCCUUCUACUGUUCUCUUCAUCUGCUCGAUCCUGCUCAAGCUUGCUUGCAACUCCAUCACAACAUUGCGAUUUCGAUAUUGAUGAAUAGUUUCCUCUAGUUCGGCCAUCCUAGCUUUUAAUUCAUCAUUUUUAUUCUGGCUUUCUGACAAACUCCUCUCAAAGGACUUAUUUUGCUUUUGAGCCUCCUGAAAUCUCUUUUUCCACCUAUCAGCCUUGACCUUUUCUUCUUGAACUUCUUGACGCCACUGCUCUGAGGUUUUUCCCAACCCAGCAGUUCUCACUAACAUACGUAGUCUCUUAUAAUCCGUCUUCAAGCUAUUCAAAUCUUUAUCGGCUUUGCGUUUUUCUUUUCUCAAGCCUUCGGUUUCCAGCUUCUGAACAUCCAUGUCCAACUUUAAAUUCAUCUUCUCCUCUUCUAUUUGCUCUAUCUUCCUUUCAAGCUCUGAGUUUCUUCUUUCAAAAUCCUGCUUUAUAAUUUCUAGCUCAGAAGGGACCAUAUGUACAUGCUUUUCUACUAAUUGAUUGUCUCCUUGACCUGGUGCAGGUAUAUUAUCAUUGACCCUCCUACCUAGCCACUUGAUAUAUUCAGAAGUCGUCGAUGGACCUACUACCAAUCUCUUCAUUCGUCGAGUCUGCCUCCAAGCAUUUGUCAUUUCUCGAAUCUUCUUCUUGUAACCAUCAUACUUAUACGAGAAUUCACUUUGAGCUAAUCCUUGGGUUGUAGGUACGAACUGCCUCAAUCUAUACUGUCUCAAUACUAGUAAUGGUGCAUAGCUGAUAGCUCCCCAAAUCCCAAGUAAAGGGACCCAAUCGAAAUCUCCACACCUAUACAAGAUCUCAUCUGGCAGCAUCCAAGGAGCUCUCUACUCGAUGUUCUCCUCUUGAAGAUUCUGAAGAAUUACAAUCCAUCUUUCUUCUAAAACACCAUCUUGCCUCGAUAUCGCCAUUAUUUCUUUCAAAGGCGAAUAAGUUUCAGAAAAAACUCGAUAGGAAAAUUUAUCAGCCUUCCAGAAGUGACUGUGAAACCAUGCCAAGAGAAGCUGCGCACAUCCAACGAAUCUUCAUUCACCUACUCUUCGGUAUUCGUUCAAUGACCUAAAAGUUUUUGCUAAAAUUACUGGAACCGGUGUGACUCCUUUACCAAGUCGAUCGAAAAGAUCAGUGACUGCUUCAUCAAUAUGUCCCAAGGCUUUGGGAAAGAUAACUAAAUCGUAAAUACCCAAGGCAAAGACAUCAACCCUCUUCCUCGUAUCCAGAUGUACUAGAAUUAAAUCCUUCAAGCUCUUCCAAGGAAUGCAUUUACUAUCUCCCUUUUGUUUGAUUCGUGCUGCGACCCAUUACUCACUCAUCCCCGUAAUAUUCAUCAAUUUCUUCAAAAAGGUUGGAACAUUAGCAGCUCUCGAGUAGGCUUUAUCUACUUGGAUCUUCGAACAACGAAGCAAGGCCGUAUAUUCCUCCACCGUAGGCACUAAGUCAACUUUUCCAAAGGUAAAGCAACUAUAAGCAGGAUUCCAAAAUUGGGCUAAGGCACGAAAUAAGUGCUUAUCCACCUUUAAGUCGAGCAAGUAAGGUAUGUCUCCAUAGCUAGAGUAGAAGAGCUGUUUAACCUCAUCAGUCCACCUUUCCCAAAUUUCCUUUAGUUCAUGUAGGCUAUUCUGGGUCACGCUAACACGAGUGAAGUCCCACAACUCUGACACAUAUCCUUCGGCCAAACUAUCACCUUUCUCUUGCUGUGUUGUCUCUGACCAAGUUUGGACAGCCGCAUUAUCUUCCACUUUAUCAAGAAACCCUUUUUCCAUGAUAAGCUUUCUAUCUAGCAACCGAAUAUGAACUAACGCCCUUUUAGGAUGAAAUGCUAUGCAAUCAUGAUGUCAUGCAAUCAAAACGAAAGAAACCCAAGUCAGUAUCACAUAUAGAGAUAUAAUCCAAUACAAACAUGAAAUAGCAAGAAACACUUAAUCUAGAAUCCACUAGGGUUUUGGGAUAGUUCUACCUAGGUCAAGUUCCUAAAGCUCACUAUAUGAGGUUUAGUUUCUAGAGUAAGGGUACCCGAACCAGCAGAUUCCUCAAUCCUCACCCAUUAUAGGCUCAUAUGGAUCGAGUUCAGUUCAGGGGGAUACAUUUCCCUAUGGCUGCACGGAGAUGAAAAUCUCACGAAGACAUAGGUACGGAUGUAUCUCGAAAGCGGUCCACUACCCUGCACGGAGGUGAAAACCUCACGAAGGACUAGUUUCUCGCUCCCACUUAAAGGGUCAAAUGCAAAAUGCAAAUGCAAAGUUGCCAACAUAUCAUGAUGAAAAAUCAAUGAGUGCGUAGGGAACUCAUGAAUUUUUUAAAAAUUUUGAUUUUCGACACAAAGACAAAUAUAAUUAGUUUAUGGCUCGACUCUCUCAAGCGUCCCCAGCGGAGUCGCCAAGCUGUCGAAACCGUUUUUUGAAAAACAAAAAUUUAGUUGUCGACUUUAAAAAUAAAAUUAGAGUUGUCGCUGAUCCUUUAUUAAGGUGUGAUCGGCUCACCUUAAAAAUUAUUUUGGUCUACGAAUUUUGAGAAAAUGAGUUCGGGAGUCAAUUACGUACGAGGAAGGGUUAGCACCCUCGUAACGCCCAAAAUCGGUACCAAAUUGACUAUUUGAUGUCUUGGUGUCGAAAGUUAAAAAAGAUUUUAAAAUAAGCUUGAAUGAUGAAAUUUGAAAAAGGAUAAUAAAUUGUUCAAGUCAUGUAAAGAAACCGAGUCCCAAUACAUUAGGGUACAAUUCCUCAUAAUCCCCGAACUUUGAAUAUCACUUUUAUUUUAUGCAAAAAUCUUCAUUUCGAGAAAGUAACAGGCCACACCCAAUACGUUAGGGCACAACAAGUUAAGUUCCCAAAAAUGAUUUUUAUGCUCAUGCAUUUUGAAUAAAGAAUAUUCUCGGUCAUUUAAGAUUGACAAAGAAAAUCAGAACCCAAUACGUUAGGGCUCAAUUUUCCACGAAAAUCCCAAACUUCAAAUAAUGAUUUUAUUCAAAAAAACCUUUAAAUCAAGAAAAUAACUUUGAUGAAUGGUUAAAACCAAAAUGUAUUUUUAAAAGGGUACGUUAAAAAAGUUAAUGUACAAUAUGGUACAGAUACUUUAAUUCACAACAUAUACGAAUAAAUAUUUGCAAAUAUAUAUAUACAAAUAUAACAUUACAAUAAAGUUGCAAACAUAUGUAUACAUAUAUCAAAAACACUUAUACAAGUAUACAUGCAAAUAGAAGAAAUGAAAUAUAUCCAAUAAAACAAACAAGAAACAUGUAUAAAAAUAAAAUAAAAGUAUAAAACAAAAUGCAUAUGUAUAUAUUUUCAAAAUAAAGGAAAAAUAUAUAAAAAAUAAGAAAAUAAAAUAAGGAUAUAAGGAAAAACGUAUGUAUAAAUAUAUGCAUGUAUAUAUUAUAUAAAACAAAUUCGCAUGUUUAUGGUAUUUUACGAAAAACAUUUUUUGAAAAUUAAAUUCACAAAAUAUAUGUUUUGUAAAAAAUAUGAAAGAAAAAAAGAAAAUUAUAUAUAUAAAAUGCGCAUGUAUAGAAAACCAAUAUAUGUAUAGAUAUAUAUAUAUAUUAUAUAAACGUGUGUAAAUGUAUAAGAAUAAUAGAAAAACUAAAAAAAAUUACUAAUGAAGGAUUAAAUCAAAAAGAAUCUUAAGGGCCGAAUUUAAAAUAAAAUUUUAAAAAAGGGGUCACUUGAAUGCGCGCGUAACAGUGGAGGACCAAAAAGGAAAUAUGCCCAUUGAUCCCACGGCACCGUUUCGACGCAAUCUGCAGUCCUGGUUGAUGGACCAAAUUGAAACAGACGCGAAAUUUUGUGGCAAAAUUGGAAACGUGCGAAAUACUGCAUUUAAAAUCAAAAUAAAAGAGGAAGGACCGGAUGCGCAAAUAUCCCAUAUGACGUCAGAACGCGCGGAUCCUCCCCUCCGGGUCGGGUCACCGCGCGGGUCUGGCCAUUCAAAACGGCGUCGUUUUGAUCUGUUAUUUAAAACAGAUUUUUCUUUCUAAAACCAUUUUAACAAAAUGAAAAUAAAUAAAUAAAUAAAUCCCCCCUUUUGCUCUACUAGGGUUUCACCCCUAGCGUCCUCGCGCCGCCGCUCGCCUGGCCAGCGCUUCGAUCGCGACGGAGGUGGCCACCGAUCCGGCAUUCUCAACGAAUGGGGUAAGAUCCUUUCCCUUGCUUUUAUUUCUAAAAAAACGCAAAAAGAAAAGAGAAAUAUAAAAACAACAGAAUGGAACCCGAUUCACCUUUUUAAAAACUUUGUAUUUUCAAUAUUUUUCUUUUGUAUUUCUCUGUAUCCACUCUCUGUUAUCCCCCUUUUACAAAAUAACAGUGGCUUUAUAUAGCCCAAAAACUAUUUGUUGCUUUUUAUUUUACACUAUAUUUUCGCGGAUGGACUCUCUGAGUCCGUGUUUGCAGGCGAGAGUGGAUCAAAUGGCACGCGUGGAGAGGUCAGCCCCGAGACGUGCGGCACUUGGAGAGGCUGCUGAAGGCGGGGAGGGUGCGGCGCUCGCUUGCUGCUACUGUUUUAGGUGUAUUGGGCUAGGGUUUAGGUUGGUUAGUGUAUUGGGUCUUGUUCAUUAGCUUGGGCCUGAGUGUUAUAACGUGAAAUGGGUUUUAGAUUGAGCCUGGGCCGAUUGGGCCCUAUUACAACAGUAAUAGUUUCCACUUUCCAGUAAUAGUUUCUAGUGUUCCUUUACUUUGCUACCAUAUUUCCAUAUUUGGGUUACCUGGGUUGAAUCUUCAUGUAGCUUGGGCAGUUUCUUUUAUCAAUACUGACAUACCAUUUUAGAGCCCAUAUUCCACUAUAUUGGCUUUAAUUGUUGUAAUAAUUUUAUCCAUAGAAUUGCAAUUAUAGAUAAUAUGCUAUACUAUUUUCUCCUUAAUUACGGAAAAAAUAAAUAUCAAAUUGAUUUUCCUUUUUGUACAGGCUACAGUUUGAGGUUAUUUACUUAAGCAAUUUUAUCCCACAUUAGUCAAUGUUUGAGUUUGUUCUUCAAAUAAGUUAUCUUAUUUUAUUUUUUGUUCAUUAUAUACAAAGAAAAUAUAAUUUGAUAUUUAAUAUAAAUUUAAUAACAAUUAAUUUUAAGUAAUGGGCUGGGCCGAGUCGGGCCUGGGCCUUGUACUUUUUCCCCGGGCCGAGCCUAGACAAAACUUCAGGCCCAUAUUUCGGGCCAGGCCGGGCCCGGAUCUAGGACACGGGCAAAAUUUUUUCUGGGCCCGACCCGAACCCGGCCCGGCCCAUGAGCACCUCUAAUCCAACAUCAUAUGAUAAUUUCUUAAUUUUAUAUGAUCCAAUAUCCUAAAAUUAGGUAUAAUGAUUUAUUUUUUCGUUCUUUAUUUAAUUUUUGUUAUUUUAAAUUUGUAUUAUUUAUCAAAUCACCUCAACGAAUAAAAAUGUAAUGUCAAUUAAUUUUACUGAUGUGACAUACAUGUGAAUUGUCACUUGAAUGCCACAUAAGUACUUAAUUAAUUUUUAAAAUGAUUUUAAAAAAUUUUAAAAAUAAAAUUAUAUAAAUGUUUUUCUAUGUUUUGGAAAUUUUAAGAAAUAAUUAAUUGCUAGGUGAAUGUCAUAUUAACAAAGUUAAAAGGUGUUAAUUUUUUCAUUCAUUUUAGGGUGAUUUGACAAAUAAUAAAAAUUCAAGGGUUAAAAGAUAAGGAAAAUUAAAUUAAAGGCUAAUUUUUUUUAUAAAAUUGGAGGGUUAAAUAAAUCAUUAUGCCCAUGAUAUAAUGACGAUGACUUGAAAUUAAAUAAUGUCUAUGAAACCGGUGUAGUUUUCUUGGUUUUGUAUAUAUUCUUUGGAAAUUAUUCGGCUUAUGCUCUUUUUGGAUAUGUAGUAAAGUUAAUUUUUGGUGAAACUAAAAGUAAUAAUUAUGAUGAGAUUAGUUAAUAUAGCGGUAAGAUUAAAAUUAAUAAUGUGAUAUAUGUUUGGAUUCAAACAAAAUAAUAACCAUGAUGUAAAAAUGGAAAAUGAUUAUUGAUGUCAUUAAGUUACAACUUAUGUGCCAACAACCUCUUGACUUAGUGGCAAGAAUACUAUGUUAUAGGCAUGAGAGUUUAGGUACAAUCCCAAGUAAUCUUAUACUCCACUUCCAAUUUUAUUAAAAAAAACUUAUGUAUAUGUAAAAUAAAUAAUUAAGAAAAAAAAUUAAAAUAAAAUAUGUUAAAUUAUUUUUUUGAAAGGUAAAUUCAUUAAUUUAUUCAAUGAAUGGAACCAUACAAUUCAGAGAAAAAAGAUAACAAACACUCAUCGCAGAUGGUGAAGGACAAGCGCCAUCAACACAACAAAGGCUUUAGCCUUAGCAUCAAUAGAACAUUAUGACACAUUGACAAUUGGCUUAAUCACAACUCAAGCACGACAUAUCUGGAGUGAUUGCAAGGACUUAAUAUGAUAAUGAAAUCAACCUCGGAUGGUCCAAAGUGGCGAGCAAAAAUCGACAAAAGAAUCGAGUAUUCACCAAACUAGAGAGGACGACAACAAAAUUUGUAACACCCCUAACCUGGCCCAAACGUUAUGGCCGAAUCUGGGUGUGUUACGAAGAAGGGUUUUAAAACUAUAUCUCUUAAGCUAAAUCGUAUCGUGUUAUUAGUUUACCAAUUGCAGUUUUAAUAACCGGAAAAACUUGGAUUUAAGAUCUUAUUUGAAACCAUUUUAAGUUAUCAAGAAUUUGCAACAGAAGUUUGAAAAAUGUUAAUUCGAAACCAAGCUCGUGUUUCCAAAAACCAUUUGUUAAAACCAUAUGUUUGCGUAAAGUGUUUUUGUUAACAUUGUGGAAAAGAAAGAAAAAUAAAAUCCAAAUCCAAAAGUUAAAACCAUACAGUUCAGAAAGUCCCAAAAAUUACAACUCUCACGAAAACCAGAUUUUGAAACAAAACUGAUAACAUUAAAUAAAAAUAGUUCUCAACCGAGUGGUCACCGUUGAGUCUCCGUCGCAUCGACCCACCUAAGUCUGUGGAUUACCUAAACAGAACAGACAAACAAAUGUGAGUUUUCAUAAACUCAGUGUGUAACCUAACAGAAAUAGUCAUGCAACACACACAGAAUUUCAUAUACAGUCAGAUACAGAUUCAGACCUAAGUCCAUAACAAAUACAGAUUCCCGAAUCAGAUAAUCAAAACAGAUAUAUAUAAUCCUAUCCCCUCCUCUAUACACCAUCUCUGUCUAUCCCAUCACACCAUGUGGGGUUAAAAACACCUACUCAUCCCUACACACCAUAUAGUGUCGAUGCGACACAUAACAGAUAAUAUGCAGUUAAGCUACCAGAAUGUAGGCGAAAGGUCGCCGUAUAGAUUACUUCCUACACAUAUGCAAAUCCCACCCCAAACAUAGAUACAUAAUACCAAAUUAACGGAUUUAACAUGCUUAACAUGCUCGUAUAAAAAUAACAUAUAUAUAUACUCAAACAGAACAGUCAGACAUACAUAUUAGAGUCCCACUCAGAUCAGACUAUCAGAAUACCAUAUCACAUGAAUUAGGGUUGGUUGGCCCUUACCAUCCCUAUGGUAGGCCCACAGUCGAUCGAAACGACCCGUGCGACCCUAGGGAAAAUUUCAGAAUCCUGGGCCACACGCCCAAUCUAGUCUAGCCCGUGUGGCUUACACAACCACACUUACACCAUCACACGGUCGUGUCCCGCACACGGCCACACCUACGACAUUCACAUGAUCGUGUUUAGGGUACACACCUAGUACGAUUUUGUUGUGAAAACACUCCCGAGACAACUAGAACCUAAAAUUGACAUAACAAGCUCUCAAAAUCAGUCUAAAUCCUCAAUUAAACUGAACUAACAAAUUUGACAAUGGUGAAAUUCAAGUUUUCAACACUUACCCGAUUCCUCGAACGAUUCCAACUAUAAUUCCGUAAGAGAAGAACCACGUUCAUCACGAUUCACUGCAGUCAAACCCAUACAAUCAAACUAACAAAAAGCAAAACCGACUUAAAUAAACUUUAACCAAAGCCCUCAAUCUAAGAAGAAACUCACCACUUUCCCUUACCUAAACGUAAAAAGCAAUCAGAGAUUCGUAUUAUCGCAAUUUUGGAAGGGAGAUUUUGACAAAAAUAAGGGAAAAGAAAAAAGAUUUUUGGUGGGGAAAGAAAAGUAUAACAUCAGAAACUAGAAGAGGGAGAAAUUUUUGGGAAAAUAGAAUAAAAGAAAAUAGAAAGAUUAAGUCAAAUCCCACUACAUCCACAUCCCUUAACCACUCAACUAACUCAAAAUCCCACUACCACCAAACCACUAUCAACCGCCACCGCCAAAAAUUAUCACCCACGCUCGCGCGUGAAUUCAAACACAGGACCUCCAACAAACUAAGUCCUUACCACUCGAACCAGCAGGCUCAUUCUAAUAUGAGUUUGCAAACAAUAUAAUAUAAGCCCACCCAACAAGGAUAAUGCUUGGAUCAAAAAUAACAAAAUUUGCCAAAAGGGGGACUUGAACCCAAGACCUCAUACACACACCUAUAACACUCAACCACUGAAGCAGAUACAUAUUUGUGUCAGAUUUCACAAAAAUAGAAAUAAAUUAUUCAGGGUGUUACAACUCUACUCCCUAAAAGAAAUUUCAACCUCAAAAUUUACCUAAUCCGAACAGAUAAAGAUACUACAAACUUAUCAAGUCCUUAUGUUCCCACAUGGCUUCCUCAGUGCCAUGAUUCCGCCACAGAACAUUUACCAAUGGAAUAGAAUUCCUCCUCAUAACCUUAAUAUCUCGUUCCAAAAUCUGAACUAUCUCCUCCUCAAACGUCAAAUUCGGUCUAACAUCGAUCUCCUUAAUAAAGACAAUGUGAGAUGGAUCAGACUGAUACUGCCUCAACAUUGAGACGUAAAACACAUCAUGGAUACAGUCCAACUUUGGAUGUAGCUCUAACUAAUAAGCGACUGGUCUCACACGCUUCAGAAUCCCAUACAACCCAAUAAAUCUAGGGCUCAACUUACCCUUACGAUCGAACCGUAGAAUCUUCUUCCAUAGAGAUGCCUUAAGAAAUACAAAGUCACCCAUAGAGUAUUCGAUAUCCCUCCUUUUUAGAUCCGCAUAGGACUUUUGUCUAUCAGAAGGCACCUUCAAACGAUCCCAAAUCAGUCUAACCUUAUCUUCAAUCUUGGAAACCAACUCAGGACCCAAAAUCCAUCAUUCACUCGACUCAGUCCAACAUAGUGUAGUAUGACACUUACGGCUAUAUAAAGCCUCGUAAGGUGUCAUCUGAAUGCUAAACUGGAAACUAUUGUUGUAGGUGAACUUAGCUAACAACAGAAAAUCCUCUCAGUUACCUCAUAAAUCAAUCACAAAGCUCCGAAGCAUAUCCUCCAGUAUCUAAAUCACCUUUUCAGACAACCAUCAGUCUGAGGAUGGAACACAGUACUGAAAUCCAAUCUCGAACCCAUAGCUUCAUGUAAUUUCUUCAAGAACUGAAAAGUGAAGCGAUGAUCCCUAUCAGAUAUUAUCAAAAUCAAAACCCCAUGUAGCCUCUCAACCUCAGAAAUAUAAAGCUUCGCUAACUUUUGCGAACUUUGUCAAUUGAUCCACGAUAACCCAAACAGAAUCCUUCUUAUUGGGUGUCAAGGGCAACCUACUAACAAAGUCUAUUGUCACUUGCUCCUAUUUCCAUAAUGGAAUCUUAACAGGUUGAAGCAAACCCGAAGGCAAUUGGUGCUCAACCUUAACUUGCUGGCACAUUAAAUAAUAAGCAACAAAAUCUGUUACCUCACAUUUCAAUCCCGGCCACCAGUACAGCUUACGAAGAUCCUGAUGUAUUUUAUUAUCACCGGGAUAUCUAGCAUAAUGGCUACUAUGCGCUUCCCUCAGAAUCGACUGUCUCAGAUCAGAAUCGUUCGGUAUACAAACCCGUCCUCGAAAACAUAGAACUUUAUAUUAUUCAGUCCAAAAUCAAAAGUACUGUCACUCUCAACCUAACAAAACCGCUCAUCCCCUAAAUUCUUUUUCUGGAUCUUCCCAAUCCAAGUUGGCUUAACUUGCAACUCGGCUAACAGACCCCCAUCAUUGAACAAACUAAGACAAGCGAACAUCGCUCUCAAACCAGUCAUCGCUCUCUGACUGAGAGUAUCAGCCACCACAUUGGCCUUAUCGGGAUGAUACUCUAUCUUGCAGUCAUAAUCUUUGAGUAGCUCAAUCCAUCGACGCUAUUUAAGAUUCAAUUCUUUUUUAGUAAGGAAGUACAUGAGACUCUUGUGAUCGGUGUAGAUAAUACAUCUCUCACCAUACAAAUAGUGCCUCUAGAUCUUUAACAUAAAUAUCACCGUAGCUAACUCGAGAUCAUGCAUCGGAUAAUUUCUCUCAUGUGACUUAAGCUGCCGGGACGCGUAAGCCACCACCUUAGACUAACAUGUGACGCAUCACUAUACAUUACAAACUCCUUACCAAAUUCAAGUUGUAUUAGAACAGGAGAGAACAGACUUGAGCUUCUCGAAGCUCGACUGUUGUGCAUUAGUCCAGAUGAAAGGAACAUUCUUGCAUAGAAGUUUAGUCAAAGGAGCUGUAAUUAGUGAGAACCCCUAAAAAACCUCCGAUAAUAACCCGCAAGACCCAAAAAAACUGUGGAUCUCAGAGAUAUUCUUAGGCUGUUUUCACUUAAGCAUAGCCUCAAUCAUUCUAGGAUCAACUCAGAUACCCUCAGCAGAAAUCAUGUGCCCUAAAAAAGUUACUUCUCGCAACCAGAACUCACAUUAACUCAACUUAGCGUAGAGCUAUUUCUUUCAGAGUAUCUGUAGCAUUACUCUAAGAUGCUCAUCAUGCUCAUCCUCAGUCUUAGAGUACACCAGAAUAUCAUCAAUGAAGACUACGAUAAACUAAUCCAAAUACAAUUAAAAACUCAGUUCAUCAGAUCCAUAAAUGCAAUCGGAGCAUUCAUCAAACCAAAGGGCAUAACUAAGAACUCGUAAUGCCCAUAACGAGUCCUAAAUGUCAUGUUAUGACUAUCAGCUUUCUUAACCCUAAACUAAUGAUACCCAGAAUAGAGAUCUAUUUUUGAGAAUACCACAGCCCUACAAAACCAAUCAAACAGGUCAUCGAUCCUCGGAAGUGGGUACUUAUUCUUCAUAGUCGGUUUAUUCAACUGCCGGUAGUCGAUGCACAUCCUCAUGGUACCAUCCUUUUUCUUCACAAACAGAACCGGUGCCCCCAUAGAGACAAACUAGGAUGGAUGAAACCACGAUCCAGAAGCUCUUGAAGUUGAGCCUUAAGCUUUGUUAGCUCUUUUGGUGCCAUACGGUAUGGAGCGAUAGACAUCGGAGAUAUACCCGGUAGAAGCUCAAUGUCAAACUUAACUUCUCGAUUUAGAGGUAAACCUGGUAACUCUUCAGGAAAAGUAUCUAAAAAUCCCCUCACUGUUUUAAUAUCCCCAAUAGAAGAGUCCCCAAAAACUGAAACACUGACAUAGGCUAAAUACGUCUCACACUUUUUCUGAACCAAUUUCUCAACCGCUAGAGCAGAGAUCAUAUUAGAUAGGUAAUCUCGACCCUCACUAAUUACAUCCGUUUCCUUAUCAUCCUCGGUCCUCAGAAUGACCCUUUUAGUCAUGCAGUCCAAACUAAAUCGGUGCUCAACUAACCAAUCUAUCCCCAAAAUUAAGUUAAACUCCCCAAACAGUAGCUCUAUCAGAUUUGCCGGAAACACAACUCCUUAUACUUCCAAUGAAACAUUCCUAUAAAGUCUAUUUACCCUAACAGACUGUCUCAAUAGAGUCAGUACAGUAAUCUCUCCAGAAGUACACUCAACAAAAAUCCUUAAGUUCUCGGAAACAGAACUAGCUACAAAGGACUGUGUAGAACCUAUGUCUAUCAAAACAAUAUAUGAAGCAUCAAAAAUUAAAAACGUACGCGUGAUCAUAUCAAGGGCAACGUUGUCCUCUUGGCAUCGAGCAACAUAAACUAGUGCAGGCUGCCUCACCUCAGUCUGAUUAGUAAUUUUUCCUAGUGCUCUCUGACCUUAGCCCAUACCAUUACCACUCCUAGCCGGUCUACGGUCCUUAGGUGGUUGUUUUACUGCCCUCUGAGGCUAAACAAAGUCCAGUCCUAAAGCUUGCAUCUAAUUAGCAUGAUAUGGACACUCUUUAAUUUGGUGCUCCAAAGACCUACACCGCAGACAAGCUCUUAAUCUCCUCUAACACUCACCCGAAUGGUGUCUACCACAGUCACCACAAGGCUGAAUCUUAGUAGGAGCAAUUGGAACUCCCACUCUAACAGGCCCAUCAGGUCUGGCCCAUUUCUUAGGCCUCUAAACAGAACUAGAGGGCUCUGAAUCCCUCUUAUUCAUGCCUCUCUCUUGGUCUUUAUUCUGGCACUCCACGCGCUUAACCUUCUCAACGAUCUUUGCCUUAUCUACCAAAAUAACAAACUCACACUCUCUCUGCAGAGUAAUCAGAGCGCUUAAAUUAUCCCUCAAAUCGUCUUCAAAAUGAACACAUUUCUCACACUCGAAUGCUACUAUGCCUCGAACGUAGCGGCUCAAUCUUAGAAACUCAACCUAACACUCAGUCACAAACUUAUCACCUUAAGUAAAAUUCAUGAAUUCACGCCUACGAGCGUCCACAUAACUCGUACCCAUAUAUUUUCCCUAAAAAAAAGUCUUAAAGUAGUCCUAGUUCAAACAAUCCAGUUGAGUACCCUCCUCAACCGACAACUAUCACUGAUAUACCUCAUCGCGAAGCAAAAAAAUUGCACCCUUCAAUUUCUGCUUAAGAGUGCAGUCAACGUUGUUCAUAAUCCUCUUGGUAUCCUCCAACCAAUACUCAGCCACAAUAGGGAUAAAUUUAGUGACGCCCCUAAACAAUUUAGCUCUAUUGGACCGGAGUCGUUCAAUUAUUGACCCAUGGCUUCCAAAUCCAAAAUGGGGUCCAAAAACCCUCUUCAACACUCUCAACAUGGCUUGCGACAGUGCGUCGUCCCUAGCUGAGCUGCUUUGAGACCCAGCCUCAGUAGCAGGUGAAAUCGGUGUCUCACUCAUAUCCAAAUUUGGCAUAUUGCCUAAAAAGAAAGACUCAGCUCGAGCCCCCUACGGUGCCCACCGCGCCCAUGAAUACCACGAUUGCGAGUUCCACGAGUGCUCAUCGUAUUUUCAGUUUUAUCUACAUUAUAAAAUUUUAUUCAUUUGUUCUAGUGUUUAUUAGCAGAUAUUUUAUGCUCAAGUUAUCAAAGGUACUUACAGGAUCGACGCCGAAGACUCAGUGUACGAUAUACUUACUCAAAUUGAUCCAAAUUAUUUGAAAACUAGUUUUUUUUCAAAGCAUAAUUUUGGAACCCAAAAUUUACAGCUUGAGUUUUGUAACCUGGCUCUGAUAUCACUAAAUGUAACACACCUAACUCAGCUUAGAUGUUAUGGCUGAAUCUAGGCAUGUUACAAAGAAAGGUUUUAAAAUUAUAUUUCUUAAGCUAAAUCGUAUCGUUUUAUUAGUUUACCAAUCAGAGUCUUAAUAUUAAAAAAAAUUGGGUUUAAAAAUAUAAUUUCAAACCAUUUUAAGUUAUCAAGAAUUUUGCAACGAAAGUUUGAAAAACAUUGAAUUCGAAACCAAGCUCGUGUUUUCAAAAACCAUUUAUUUACGUAAAGUGUUUUUGUCAACGUUGCGAAAAAGAAAGCAAAACAAAAUCCAAAUCCAAAAGUUAAAACCAUACAGUCCAGAGAGUCCCAAAUAUUACAACUCUCAAAGAAAUCAGAUUUUUAAAAAAAAUCGAUAACACUAAAUAAAAACAGUUCUUUGUCGAGAGGUCACCGUUGAGUCUCCGUCGCACCUACCCGCUUAAGCCUAUGGAUUACCUGAACAGAACAGACAAAAAUAGAUGUGAGUUUUCAUAAACUCAAUGUGUAACCUAACAGAAAUAGUCAUGCAACAUACAUAGAAUUUGAUAUACAGUCAGAUAUAGAUUCGGACUUAAGUACAUAACAGAUAUAGAUUCCCGAAUAAGAUAAUUAGAGCAGAUAUAUAGAAUCUACCCCCUCCUCUACACACCAUCUCCUUCCAUCAUAUCACAACAUAUGGGGUUAAAAACACCCACCCAUCCUUACACACCAUAUAGCAUCGAUGUGAUACAUAACAAAUAAUAUUAAGUUAAGCUGUCAGAAUGUAGGCGAAAGGUCGUCGUACAGAUCACUUCCUCCACAUAUGCAAAUCCCACCCCAAACACAGAUACAUAAUACAGAAUUAACAUGCUUAACAUGCUCGUAUAUAGAUAACAUAUAUAUUCAAACAGAACAGUCAGACAUACAUAUCAGAGUCCCAUUAAGAUCAGACUAUCAGAAUAUCAGGUCACGUGAAUUAGGGUUUGGUUGACCCUUACUGUCCCUACGGUAGACCCAUAGUCGAUCGGAACGACCCGUGCGACCCUAGGGAAAAUUUUAAAAUCAUGGGCCCACAUACUCGUGUGGCCCACACACCCAAUCUAGUUUAGCUCGUGUGGCUCACACCGUCACAUGGUCAUGUCUCGUGCACGACCACACCUACGACAUUUACAUGACCGUGUCUUGUACACGGCCAACCACAUGGUCGGGCACAUGCUCGUGUGGCGUCGAUAAUACCCUUUUUUAGCUUUCAUCGAACCUUAAUUUUUCGUGUUUAGGAUACACACCUGGUACGAUUUUGAUGUGAAAACACUCCCGAGACCACUAGAACCUAAAAUUGACAUAACAAGCUUUCAAAAUCAGUCUAAUUCCUUAAUUAAAUCGAACUAACGAAAUCAACAAUAGUGAAAUUCAAGUUUUCAAGACUUACCCGAUUCCCCGAACAAUUUCGACUAUAAUUCUGUAAGAGAAGAACCACGUUCCUCGCACUGUAGUCAAACCCAUAAAAUCAAACUAACAAAAAACAAAACUAACUUAAAUAAACUUUAACCAAAGCCCUCAAUCUAAGAAGAAACUCACCACUUUCCUUUACCUAAACAUACAAAGUAAUCAGAGAUCCGUAUUAUCGCAAUUUUAGAAGGGAGAUUUUGACAAAAAUAAGGGAAGAGAAAAAAGAUUUUUGGUGGGGAAAGAAAAGUAUAACAUCAGAAACUAGAAGAGGGAGAAAUUUUUGGGAACAUAGAAUAAAUUAAAAUAAAAAGAUUAAGUCAAAUCCCUUAACCAUCCAACUAAUUAAGAAUCCCACUACCAACAAACCACUAUCAACCGCCGUCGCCAAAAAUUAUCACUCACGCUCGCACAUUAAUUCGAACACAGGACCUCCAACAAAUUAACUCCUUACCACUCGAACCAGCAGGCUCAUUCUAAUAUGAGUUUACAAACAAUAUAAUAUAAGACCACCCGACAGGGAUAAGUUUUGAAAGCAUUUAAAUUUACAUUUCAAAUGAACCUGGACAAGAUUUUUUCUAGAUUCAUUUUUAAUGUGUAAAAUAAUAAUUUCUUUAUAAUUUCUAGGAUUUUUAUAUUUUUAAAACUUAGAUUAUUUUUAUAAUUAUCUUUAAUUAUUUAUAUUUUUACCAUUGAAAUAAUUUUAAUAAUUUUUAAUUUUUUUACUAUAUUUCAAAUUUAUAUCUGAAUGAAUCUGGACAAAUUUUGUUCAAGUUCAAAUUUAUUUGGACAACUAUUUAUUCAGGUUUAUUCUGGAUGUAUUGAUAACUUUAAUAAUUAAAAUUAAAAUUAAAAUUUUGAUAAAUUCAAAUAAUAAAAAUUAAAAUAUUUAUUUAAUAAUUAAAUAAACAAUAAAUAAUUUGUAGUUGGUGUUCUAAAUUAGAAAGAAGAAGUGAAAGGAAAUACAUAUGCUGUCAAAAGAUUACAUCAACAUUUGUCCACUAGAUACACUAUUGUGGCCAUUAAAUGACGUACCAUAAAAAAAUAAAAAGAAAAGAACAAACAACUCAAAAACCGAUUUAUAUAUAUUAUUUGUAUUCUUUUGACUUAAAAGCAUAAUUGAAGCUAAAACUAAAAAUAUUGCAAUGAUUUUAUAAUGUUAUUGAUAAAUAUAAUCUUUUUAGGAAAUUUUAUAUCUCAUAAAUAUAAUAUAUAUAACUCUUCAGGAUAAUUUAAUUAUCAAUUGCCGAGAAGUUUUUGCAAUCAAUUCUAUUAAAAAAUAUUAUUAUUUAAUAGGAGGAGACUUUUUAUUCUUUUAUAUUUAUGUUUUUAUUUUUUUUAAAUAAAAUUACAAUUUGCAAUUAUAAGUAAUAUAUCAGACAUUCUCUCACAUGUAUCUGCACGUGGAAACCACAAAUUUAAAACAUAAAUGUAUGUCUAAAAUAACAUAUAAUAGAUAAUGAAACUUAUGGUUUGAAACUAAUUAAUAAUAAUGCAUUAAAUAUGUACGUUAUUAGAAUAAGAAAAUUAGAUUAAUUUUCGUAUCAAGUUGUUGUCAUCAAUCUUGAGUCCUUGUCGAGUUAACUUGUGGUAGAAAUUCAUCUAUAUUAUUAUUUAAAUUCUUGACUAAGUUGGUGUCAUGAGUAAACCGGACACCAACUUGGUUAGGAAGUUAUGAGAAUACCCUUUUGUAAUUAAAAUAAGUAAUGUUAUUCGAGGCUAGUUUAGUCUUUUAACUUUAAAAAACAUUAAGAAUAAGUAUAUGGUAGGAUUCGAACCCACAUCAAUUGUAUUAAUAAAACUUUUAAUUUACCACUCAAUUAAAAUUUUAUUUUAAUAUUUUUAUACACUUUAGUUUUAUUAUGCACACUCUAUUACCUUCAUAAGUUGUAUAUCUAUACAUACUAUUAUUUAAACUCCAUACUGAGUUGGUGUCACUCUCAAUUGGGUCACCAACUUGGUUAAAAAAUUACAAGAAUGCCCUUCUUUUAUUAAAAUAAGUAAUAUUAUUUGAGAGUAUUUUAGUUUUGUCACAUAAAACAAGGAAUAAAAAUAUACAUACGGUGAGAUUUGAACCUAGGCAAAUUUUGCAUUAGUAAAACCUUUAAUUUACCACCCAACUAAAGCUUUAUUUUAAUAUUUCUUAUACAUUUUAAUUUACUAUUUAUUUAAAACACAUAUGUGUGUUUUAAAGUAACAUACAAUAAACAAUGAAAGGUAUAGUUUGAAACUAAUUAAUCAUAAUAACUGCAACACCCCAAAUUCGGUUUGAAAGUUUAAGCCAAACUUGGAGGAGUUACACCAACGCAUUGAAAACUGGUUUCUUUUCGGGAUUUUAAUUUUGAAAAUCAAAAAUUUGUUUUUGUCGAUUUACGUGAUUUUGUAGUUUCAUGUUAGAAAUUGACUGAUACUACAAAAUGACAUUAUCACAGAAAUGUUUUGCCGAACCAUGACGUCUUGUAACUUGGGUAGUCGUGAUAUAUUGCUAAGUGUUACUCACUAUGUAAUGACAUAGUUUCCAAUGGUGUUGGGAAAUCCAAUUUCUGGACAUCAUUUUCAUAAAUUGAGUCCAUAAAUAGUAAACAGGGGUUUUUGUGGAAUAAUUAUGUUGAUAUAGCAAAAUUUAGUUAAGUAAUUUUGCAGAAAAUGUGGUUAGUUAAGGCUUGAAGACUAAAUUGUAAAAAAAAAAGUACUAUAGAUUUUUAAUUAAAAAAAGACUUGGAGACUUAAAUAGAGAUUAUCCAAAGGAUCAAAUGGUAAAUAAAAAAAAUAAAAUAGAUGAUAAUGGGAUUGGAUGGUGGAUGCCAUUAGAUAAGUUAAUUAAAUAUUAGAGUUUAAUUAAUUAAGACUAAACUAACUAAUUAUGUUUAAUUAGGAUUUUUUUACAAAAAUAAUAUUAAAAAAUAGUUAAUUACAAGAAUGAGUUUGAGGAAAUUACUUACAAAAAUAAGUUGUUUGCUACAGUACAAACUGGUAUCUACAACACCACCAAAAAAAUUAGGUCAAUCAUCAUUCAAUCAUUACAUUUUUUUUAAAAAGAAAUUUGAUUGGUUUCAUCACUAUAUUAAGCCACACCAAUUUAUAUAUUUUUUAAAAAUACUCAUAUUUUCACAUAUGUAAACGGUGAGAGAAAAAAUAAAAAAAAUUCUGAAUGCCACCAAUGUCUCAAACGUCACCCUUUCAAUUUUUUUUUUUAAAUGUCUGACAUCAUACGGUGCCAUUUACGUACAUGAUUUUUUACAUUUACUAGUGGGGGAUAACGCUCCCUUUCCUGCCUUCAAAGAUUUGCUAAGAGUUAUUGGUCAAGGGUUUUUUUUUUAAUCAGUUUUUUUUAACUUCAGCUGUUUGUUUUCAUGAUAGAAUUUUUUUGAAUUCAAAAGGAUACUGUCUGACACAUUUACGGUACCUACUUAAAAAAUAAUGUUUUUCACUUUUUCUUGCAUCAAGUAUAUUUGUGAGAAUACAACUAUUUUUUAAAAAAUAUAUUGGUGUUGCAGCACCAAUAAAAGAUUUUUUUUUAAAAAAAACAUAAUGAUUGACUGAUGAUUGACCGAAAGUUAGGUGGUGUUGCCGGUGUGUCAGGCGGCACCAGUUUGUAUUGUAACAAAUAACUCAUUUUCGUAAAUAAUUUUCCCCAACUCAAUUCUGUGAUUAAUUAAUUUUUAUAUUAUUUUUAUAAAAAACGGUGAAUUACAAAGUCAUCUUCUCCUUCCCCAGAGCUAUCGUCCAAUUUUAGAAGAGAAAAGAAAGCUUUAAAGCCUAACUUGAUACUCAGCCACCUAUUUGAGUAAGUCUCUAGCCAUUUUUUCUUUGAUUUUUAUAGAAAUUGAAUAAUGAGAGCUUGAUUUAGCUAACCCAUGCAUCAAUUUCCCUUACUUCAGUUUAUUCGAUGAUGCACUUCGAUGCCAAUUUGUAACAUUCUCGACCCGGUUUAGGAGUUUCAACUAAGUCGGAGGCGUACAUUUGAUCACCGAGGUGAUCAUGUAAAGCCAUUCUUUUUGAAGUGUUGAUUUAUAUGGAAAACUCUCUUUUGUCUUUAGGAAGAACAUUCAUUAAUUUAAAUUGGUUUUACUUAACAAUUCAAUUAUAAUAUUAUUAAUGUGAAGAUUUAGGAAAAUGAGGUAAAUUUUUUAAUAAAGGACUUAUCAAAAGCUUUUAGUAUUUUGUAAAACCAGGGAAAACAUUUAAAGUAGUGGUUUUCUAAACUGAAAAGCAUGCAAAUUUCAGAGUAUUAACUAAGUGUCAUGCUUUAAAAUAAAUAAGCUAAACAACUUUACCCUAAAUAUAAAAGCAAGAAAUAACUAACAAUUACAACCCAAAAAUAAAAGAUUUGAAGAAAACUUUAAUAAAAACUUUAUAAUAAUAAUAAUAACAAAAAAUUAGUUGUUAUUCUGAGGUUCCUUCGAUGCCAUAUCGAGUUGUAGUUUCUUAUGUUACCUAAGAGGAAAAGAAAGGGGGAAUGAGCUUACAACCACUCAAUAUGAAACUAGCUUAUAAAUCAUUAUAUAUAAUUGCACAAAUAGAAAAACAUAGAAAUAAUAGCGAGUUAAGUAUAACAUUUGGAGUACAUAGUAAAUCAAUGUAUAUACAGUUUAUGUAUGAUGCAAUGCAAAUCCAAAUUUCCCACCCGUUUAUUUUAUCCGCCCUCAAGCAUCGCUCGCCACACCUAAAACACAUAUCAAAGACUAGCCAUCCCUGAUUUCCCGAUGAAGAUGGUCAUUUACAUGUCAUUUGUGAUGAUGAAUUUUACUACAAUAACUUACUAUCCUGGUUGUCUGAUUUUGAUAGUUUUUUACUACGAUAAACUAUCAUCUCAGUCGUCACGGUUUAGGAUUAGUUUUCAUUUUGCUAGGGAUACUAGUGCCAACAUUGGUUUGCAACAUGUGGAGAAUUUGGUCUAGCUGGCCUUGCAUUUGACGCACUGUAGUGUGCAACAAACGUAUCCCUUCUUCAAGUUUACUAACCUUAACGGUCAUAGGGGGUCAUUGUUAAAAGUAGGCUUCCUCUUAAGGUCUUGGGGUUUAUAGGCUUGUAGAGGUUGGUAAGGAGGGGCUGGUCUAUGGUGGUUGAAGUUUCCCACACCUUGGUUUCCUCCCCACCUAAGGUUGGAAUGAUCACACCACCUUAGAUUAUAGGUAUUUGAGUAUGGGUUACCACCCCUAGUUCCCAUAUAGUUCCCCUCAACCUAACUACCCUCUUGGUGAUUUCUCUAAGUAGCUUUUCAUUUUUGCCCCCUACAUGAGAUCCCAUAAGAUGGUGUUUGUUAGGAUUGAGGCAUAUUAGAGCUAAUUUCGAGGUUAUUAAACCUCUAGAGGAGUUGCCAUUGACUGCAUUCACAGUCAGUGAUUUAGCUGUACAUGUGAAUCGCUUAAUCGACCACAUCUAGGAGUUCAUUGCUAAAUGUUUAAUGGGUUGGCAACCUUUAGCGUAAGUUUUAGACAUGAACGGCCCCGCAGAUGCUCCUUCUAAGCUUGACCUCAAAUUCCUGUCCAAACCAUUAUAGAAAGUUUGUAAUUACAACCAAUCUUGUAGACCAUGGUGAUGACACUUAUCUAGUGUUACUUUGAAGCACUCACAUGCCUCAUACAACAAUUCUACCUCCAAUUUCCAGAAGUUGGUGAUAUUCAUUCGCAACUUCAUCUUUUUGCUCAGUGGGAAAUAUUUGGUGAGGAAUUGGUUGGCUAGCUCAUCCCACAUAGCGAUAGAAUUUAUUAGCUGCGAAUCCAACCAUAUAAAAGCGUCAUCACACAAAGAGAAAGGGAAUAACCAAAGGCAUAUAACGUCAUUGGAUACCCUGUUAUACUUAAAAGUAUCACAAAUGGUUAGAAAAUGUUAAAGGUAUUGUUGGGAUCCCCAUGCAUUGAGCCCCAGAAAUAGAGAUAACUUUGUAUCAUCUAAAUCCUAGCCGACUUGAUCUCAAAAUUGUUGGCAUUAAUGGCAGUUUGGUUGAUACUCCUCGCACAACAUCCAAGUUUGGCAUGAUAUAAUCUUUCGAUGUACGGUUCGCCAUUCGUCUCGAUCAGAUAGGGGUUCGUGUUUCUCUAUGUUCAGAGGGCCUAGAGGUGGAUAUUCAAAUAAAAGAUUGUCAAUCGGUGGAUCAACAAUCAGUGAUUCUAUCGAUAGGUGACCCUCUCUUGAGGGUUGUCCUCAUCUUGCGUUGGAUAUUAUCUUUUCCGACUCGAGAUCAAAUGAGAUUAAAUCUUUGUUGCUCCAAGUCAUACAUUGAGAAAUGCAACCACAAGAAACACGGGUUAGUCAUGAAAUUAACUAAACAAAUAAAAAUAGAAAUACACAAAGAAGUAAAGCGCCGUAUUUAUAAACCUAGAUUUCACCAAUUGUCUUCCUGGCAAAACAUGAGAAAAUCACAACAAAUCAACUCAUCACACACACAUCUCCCAAAAACUUGAUUGCGCCACAGCGUACGAACUCCUAGCAAAUAAUUAGCACAAAAUAUAAGAAAUUAAAAGUGACUUGACUGCAAGUGUGAUAGGUCAAUUGUAAUAUUUGUAAGUGUUAUAAUGGAACACUUUGAGCUUUCCAAGGAUCAAACCCAAGAGAGGUCAAAGUUAAUUACGCUAAACUACCCUAAGGAGGACUAAAUUGAAUAACAAUAAAAAGUAUACAAAUAUAAUUCAAUGAGAUAAAGUGGUCGGUUGAUAUCCAUAUUUCUAAUUAAUUCUUGGAUUAGGGAUAUAAAUUGCUCAAACUCCUAAUUAGUCCAAUUUUACCUCUCGAUUACCAUUUUACCUAAUUAUACGAUUUAGUCUGAUUUAUCUCCCGACCUCACUAAACUAAGUCGGGUCAAUCAAAUUGGCUCACAAUAGGAUCUCCUUUCGGUCUCACCUAUCCAAAUGUUCACGUAGAGGCGUCAAUUCUAGGUUUUGAAAUCUAUUCAAUUUAAUCCGAUUUUUAUGAUUUACUCUUUGACCCAAAAAUUAACCAUGCAAUAUUUCAAUCAACCAACCACCAUAAAACUUAGUUACUACUCAUCAUCACAAGACAAAGACCAACCAAUUUCAAGCUAAAAUGAUUGGUCAAAUAACCACAAAAAGAUAAGUUUUAGAAAUGUUUAGUGACUCUUGAAGGAUCCUUUGAUGAGGAUGAUGACAACAAGAAAGAUGAUAAAUCUACAACCAAAUAUGAUUUUUUUUUUUUUUUUUGAAAACUAACAAGAAUAAAAUCUGUUGAAUGUUUUAAAUAGAAGUUGAAAAUGACAAGGUUGAAAAUGACAAGGUUGACUAUUGUAUCUACUUGGAAAAAAAAAAACUAAAACUACAGUAAAAGUAAUGACAAGGUUGAAUAUUGUGUCAGAAUUUAAUGCAUGAGUUAAAUAAAUGUUCCUUGAUAAAAGAAAUCCGUGAAAAAAUCAAUUGAAAAAAAGAGUCAAAUCGGUUUAACUUUAUAUGCAUAAAUUGACUUCAUUUGAUUUUAAAUUUAACUUCAUAUAUAUAUAUAUAUAUAGUUCAAUCUUAUUAGUCCGUUGUACCCAAAUAAAUUCUUUAUAUAUAUAUAUAUAUAUAAAAACUCAAUGAGUAUUUAUAACCUUAGUUAAAGAUUUAAGAUUUAAUAUCUUUAGCCAGUUGAGUCUUAAUUUAAUUGAUAUGAGUAUUAUUAUCAAUGCAGGAGAAUGUGAAUCCGAAUAUGUUAAAACGCAUUAUUCUUCUAUUUAUGGGUGGAGAGGGACUAUAGGUAAUUUUAAGUAUUAUCUUAAAAAAUAUAUAUAUGAUCAAAAUUUAUAAUAAGAUUAUUCAAAAAAAUGAGACUUAAGAUCCUUAAAAUUCACUACUAAUAAUUUUGAUCUGUUUAGCAAAAAAUAUUUUGUUUAUUAAAAUUUUCAAAAAUGUUUUUAUUAUAUUUAUAUAUAAGAAUAUUUGGUACAUCACUAUGGAUGAAACAUGCCAUUUUUCAAUUUUUAUUUACCCAAAAUUAAUAUUAUUUUUCAUAGUUUUUAAAUUGAUUCCUUAAAGAUUUUCUAAAAUCCUAAACAGGGCAAAAUUCCAUUAAAAAAAAUCCAAAAGAGAGCGGCUCAAAUAAGUAACAAAAAGAAUUGAUUAUUGAGUAGGAUUAAAAGUAGCAUGACAAACAUUUUUUUAUUAAGUAAAAUUUUAUAUCUAAAUAAGUUAGUAUUUUUAAAUAAUAUAUAGAGUCAUAGCAGUCUUACUUUACACUGUUAUUUCCUAAGAAAAUAAUUUCGGUGAUAAAAAGAUUGGUCAUAGAGACUGCAGGGGGAUUGAGGACUUAAAAUUCUGUCAAGUGUAUGUCAAAAGCAAAGAAAAGAUUUAAUAUCACUCAUGCCCUCAAACAUUAGGCAUCAAUCAUUUUCAUCCUUACAUUUCAAUCAAUGAAGAAUAAACCAGAAGUAUAAACUCAAUUUUAACCUUUUCUAUAUACAUUACAUAAGAUAACAUUAAAUCAAGUACAUUUUUUUAUUAACUACUGUAAUUAUUUCUUUUUAAACACAUUUCAUAUUAAAGUAAUAGUUAAGAUUUAAUUUAUACAUUACAUAAGAUAUUAUACAUUUCUAAACAUUUAUCUAUUAAUAUUUUACAGACAUAACAUUUCUUUUAAUCUAUUUCCAAUUCUCAUGCAAUGGGUCCUACAUUCACUUUGUUUUCCAUAUUUGUUUUCUUGAAUUUAAGUUCUCCUUUUUUGUAUUUCUCAUGCACUUUGUUUUCUUGAAUUUAAGUUCUCCUUUUUUGACUUCAAAUAUCACCACUAUUUUUCUUACCUAUAAAUACAUGCAACAAUUGCACUCUUAUCCUCACACAAAUUCUGUGCCAAAUUUCAAGAGCAAACCAAAAAAAGGCUGCAAUUUCAGCUUUUCAAUAUUUGCUUUUGAUCAAUCGAAAUGGCUUCACAAGAUUCUCAAAUGCCUUCUUCAUCACCCCUUUCUUCCAAUAAGGAUGAAAUGCGUCCCAAAGCCGAUUUUCAGCCUAGCAUUUGGGGAGAUCUCUUCCUCAAUUGUCCCGACAAGGUAUACAUACAUAUCACCAUAUUGAUAUAAUCUUAACAUAUUAUUUGUUUAAUUAUUUAGUGAUUCAAUGUGAAGAAAAUUUUCAUUAUUUUGAGCAGAAUAUUGAUGCUAGAACUGAAAAACGCCACCAACAAUUGAAAGAAGAAGUGAGGAAGAUGAUUGUGGCACCAAUGGCUAAUUCAACCCAAAAGUUAGCCUUCAUUGAUUCAGUCCAAAGACUGGGUGUGAGUUACCAUUUCACCAAGGAGAUCGAAGAUGAACUAGAGAAUAUCUACCAUAACAACAAUGAUGCCGAGAACGACCUCUACACCACAUCUCUUCGAUUCCGACUACUCCGAGAGCAUGGAUACAAUGUUUCAUGCGGUAAUUAUUGGAACAACAACAUAGUGUUUUUAAGUGUCUAGAGAAUAUAAUAGCAUGGAAUGUUUGAUAACGAUAUUUCAUUUUGGGUAAUUUCAUCUCAGACGUAUUCAACAAGUUUAAAGACGAGCAAGGGAAUUUCAAGUCAUCCGUGACAAGCGAUGUUCGAGGAUUGUUGGAACUUUACCAAGCUUCCUAUUUGAGGGUUCAUGGGGAAGAUAUAUUGGAUGAAGCAAUUUCUUUCACCACCAACCAUUUAAGCCUUCCAGUAGCAUCUUUGGACCAUCCUUUGUCCGAAGAGGUUUCUCAUGCUUUGAAACAAUCAAUUCGAAGAGGCUUGCCAAGGGUUGAGGCAAGGCACUAUCUUUCAGUAUACCAAGAUAUUGAGUCCCAUAAUAAGGCUUUGUUGGAGUUUGCUAAGAUCGAUUUCAACAUGUUACAAUUUUUGCAUAGGAAAGAACUAAGUGAGAUUUGUAGGUAUGUUUUGUUAAUCUCUUUCACCCAUUUUUUUUUUCUUUUUCAUCUUUUUUUAAUUUUUUGGUGGAAGGGGGGUUGAAUUUAUAGGAGGCAUCAUUCUCAGUAUAGGAUACGAGUUGCAAAUGCUAAUAUUUGAAUCUUAUUAAAUAGCACAAGUUAAAAGUGAUGGCAUGAACCUUAGAUUCAUCUUUUUCACCAUUUUCAUUUUAACCUUAGAUUCAUCUUUUUCACCUAUUUCAUUUUACUUAUAUAAUUUUUAAAAUUUGAGGUUCCCAAUUGACUUAAGAGUUUAACAAUUUACUCAUUGACAACAUGAAUGUGGAACUAAUUAAAACUUUGUAUGGUCAUUGCGUUAAUGGGGUUUUUUAUAAUAUGAUUUUUUAGGUGGUGGAAGGAUUUAGACUUUCAAAGAAAGUUGCCAUAUGCAAGAGAUAGAGUGGUUGAAGGUUAUUUUUGGAUCUCGGGAGUGUACUUUGAGCCCCAAUAUUCACUUGGUAGAAAGAUGUUGACAAAAGUGAUAGCAAUGACAUCUAUUGUAGAUGAUACAUAUGACUCAUAUGCAACAUAUGAAGAGCUCAUUCCCUAUACAAAUGCAAUUGAGAGGUUAGAUUUCUUUAAUUUUGCUAGUAAUAGGUUAGGUUUUUUUUGUUCAAGUGAACAUUCAAGUAUAUAUUACGAGGAAUGAUCAAAUAUAACGUUGAGGUUUGAUUCAGGUGGGAUAUCAAAUGCAUAGAUGAACUUCCUGAAUACAUGAAACCAAGCUACAAGGCACUAUUAGAUGUUUAUGAAGAAAUGAUACAAUUGGUGGCUGAGAAUGGGAGACAAUAUCGUGUUGAGUAUGCGAAGAAUGCGGUAUGUACAUUUGCAAACAUUUAUUUUAUACAAAAGAGAUAAGAUCUUAGCUAAAUUCUAGAUUUGAAUAAACAACUAACUUGAAUAACAAUAUAUAAUCAUUUAAAUAUUAUUAUUGAAUUUUAAUUGAUAUUAGUGAUAAUUGUUGGGACUUUGUUGUCUUAGAUGAUACGACUUGCUCAAUCUUACCUUGUGGAGUUCAAAUGGACUCUUCAAAACUACAAACCAUCAUUCGAGGAGUUUAAGGCUAAUGCAUUGCCAACUUGUGGUUAUGAAAUGCUUGCUAUUACAUCUUUCGUCGGCAUGGGAGAUAUUGUAACGCCAGAGACCUUUAAAUGGGCAACUAAUAACCCUAAGAUCAUUCAAGCUUCCACAAUUAUUUGUAGGUUUAUGGAUGAUGUUGCUGAACACAAGGUAUAAUAAUAUAUUUAUAUGAUCACAAGAAACCGAACUCUUAGCUCAAUAAUUGAAUGUCUUUGUAGCAAAAUUAAAUGAUGGUUUUUAUCAUGAUCUGAAACAAUUAAAGUUUAAUGUUGACAUAUCAAAUGUUUAGUCUUAAAUCGAAAAAUAAGAAAAUAAAUCUAGUUUCAUUUUAAACAAAACUAUAUUAAAUAUAGUUUAAUAAUAUGAUAGGUUUUAGGGUAUAUAGUGAUAGAAUAAUUUUGAUUUUAUUAUGGUUGCAGUUCAAGCAUAGAAGAGAAGACGAUUGCUCAGCAAUUGAGUGUUACAUGGAAGAAUAUGGCGUAACAGCAGAAGAGGCAUAUGAUGUAUUCAACAAGCAUGUUGAGAGUGCGUGGAAGGAUGUAAAUCAAGAGUUUUUGAAACCAACAGAAAUGCCAACAGAAGUUUUGAAUCGUAGUCUAAACCUUGCAAGGGUGAUGGAUGUGCUUUACAGUGAAGGAGAUGGCUAUACAUAUGUUGGAAAAGCAGCUAAGGGUGG
rnacentral:lncRNA from 1 species